UGCAGUGUUGUUGUCGAUAUAGAAUCGAGAUUUUGGCCAACCACUCGGGCUCCAUUAUCAUCAUCAUCAUGAGAGUAAUAAAGAUCACUAGGCAUGGAUAUUACCUCUAUUCCAUUUAUAAAAGCAUAUGUUUUAUCAGAUUGACUGUGUUCAGGAGAGAAAAUUAUACUCAGGGGUGAUUCUGUUCUAUAUUCAUGCAAUACUCCUUAACCAAAGACUUCACGUCGAGGGCAUCAGCAGUUAGUGAAGUGCUAAAGUUUCUAAGGAGAGUGAAAGCCCCAGCUUCGACAGUGAACAAAUCCUUAAAUUUUUUGAAACGUUGGUAAGAAGCCGGACUGAAGUGAAGACAAAUAAGCUUCUGACCUGGACUAACUUGAAAUGUGUAGGAGAAUUGCUUGCGAGAGACUCGAGCUGUUUUGUAGGGAAUGGAAUCUGUUGAAACCAAAUUAUGGAAGGCAGUUGAGGUGGUGGAUGAGCCCUUUAUCACUAGCGAGGAAGUAGAUUUUGAUUCUGUUAUAUCUCCAGUCCAUUCUUUGUUAUUGAAGGCGGUUGAAAUGCCAAUUGAACCAGAGUUAAUAGCUAUAUCCACUGUGAGGUAAUUAUCUGCGGAAUGAACUGCUAAGGUGCAAAGAAGAGGAUAAAGGAAGAAGAAGACGAGAUUUUCCAUUUGGUGUAAACUGGAGGGAGGGGAUGCUGAUGACAUGUUUGGCAUAGAACUAGAUGGUGUUAGGGAGGAAAAAAUGCUCAGUUUUUUGCAGUGUUCUCUGUUAAAGAGAGGAAACAAGUAGUUUGUUUUAUCAAAGUCAAUUCUCCCUCACAAUUACCUGGUAACUUCAAAGAUGAUUCAGAUAAUAAUGUAGAAGACAGGUCAUGGUUACUGCACAUUUUACGCGAAUAGAUUUUUUAUGCAAAAUUAUGCUUUCAUAUUCCCUCAAUUCACGUCACAAGAAAAAGGGAAAAAGAAACUGAAGAAUGAAAACUUUUCGAAGACCGGCUUUAUCUUGUAAAUGCUAGUAAGGAUAAUGCUCUUGGUACAUUGUGAUAUCCAACAUGGUGUCCAAAAUGGACACCCAGCAUCUCAGCAUUGGCCGAGGUGCUUGCGGGCCCCGACGUGGCAGGCCGAGGUGCCAAGUGUCCAUUUUGGACACCAUGUUGGAUACCACAAAGUACCCCAAGCAUGAUUGAUACUAGUAAUUGCUAGCUGUAUUCUUGAAGCUUUUUACUGUUUCAAGUCAAUAUAAGAUAAAAACAAAAAAUCAAUUCGCUCCACUCCAUCCGUUCUUCUCUAAAAAGUAAGGAUUAUCCUGAGACCUGUUUGAUGAAAAUUAAAUUUCAGAUUUUGUUUCAAGUUAAAGUUAAUAAUUAAUUUCAAUCACAUAUUCCGUGAGAUCUACAACUUUUUAAUCACAUAUUUCAUCAAUUUUAUCAUCUUCUUAAUAAUUGCUACCCUAAUGAAUAUUAAUUUUUAAAUUAUAUAGCCCUAGCUCUUUUAAGAAAAGUGUGGAUUUGAUUCGGCUUUAUUUUAUGCACUUGCUUAUGCUUCUCUAGUAUUCCAAAAUUCCAUAUGUUGAGCAACAAAAAUUACAUUAAGCACCUGUUCUUUGCUGAUUAAUAUUCAUUUCUUCGAAAAUGAAAUUGAUACCAAAGCUCGUCAAAGGCUCAGGUAAUUUUGCCUGACAUGCUCGGCUCAUGUACAAUCACUGAAGUAAUUACAACUACUAUUUAAUCUUGUUGUGAACAUUUGUCUUUGACAAAGUUUGUUACUUGAUGGUUUUACUGCUGCAACAUAUUACAUGCAAAAUUGAUGAAGACUUGGUACAUAUGAAACUAGAUUCAUGUCAAAAUAGUGGUAAACUCAACAUAGAAGAGAUGAAGGUUGAAGUGGCAUGCUUGUACCUGUUUAAAACUCUUCGAAGAGAAGAUAUCCAGAGGUAUGCAGUGAUUCCUAAUUUUGCGCUUGGUUUUUAUUAUUGGUAAUCAUAAUGUAGAAGUUUGGGUUUUGAAUUACAACCAUUUUUUUUGAGUGAAUAAGACGAAACAAUGUUAGGUACAUACAGUCUGGGGCAUUAUAAAUUUUGUAAGGAUAAUUUUCUAGUGUUUGUUUGGUGUGAUUAUCUAAUAACCCUGCAAAAUCAUGUCAUAUGAAUCAGUAAAGAAUUAAGAGGUUAUUCUCCAAAUAAAUUAUGAUCUGGAAAGGUUUUCAUGUAUUCUCAAUAAUUGGUUUCACAGACUUACGCGAGCCAUUGUUUGUUUCGUAUUUCAUAUUUCCGCAAUUUUAUUAUCACGAACCAUUUAUGUGCAAUACGUGAAGGCCCUUAUGUCAAUUUUAUUUGUAAAGUUCCAAUAACAUAUAUCUUGCUCAAGGAAAGAGCUCAGCUUGCAGAUGGAAGUCAUAAUCAUGAAUGUGAUUCCAAUAAUUUUUUGCAAGCAUUGCUAAUGCAGGUAGGUCGAGAAGCCUAGAUGCCAUUGUUUAAUACUCCAUUCAUGGUAGUUUAAUGCUUAUACAAGUGCUUAAAAAUUUCAUACUUUCUCGUCUCUUUAACUUUAACUAUAUCAAGAUUAAAUUGGAUGUCCGAAGUUGAUAUAAUGGGAAGGCGAAGAAGAUACUGUGUAUUGAGAUCUUACCAAUCCUCCUUAUGUCCUUACAUUUUACUGGUAAUUGCAUAUUCAAAUGUAUUUAGGUUCUCAAUUGCUGUGCCAUUCUUUCUAAUAUAUUGUUGAGUGCUGACAAUAGAUAUUUCACAUAAUUACACUCUAUGGCAGAGUAUGCAGAUUAAGCUUCUUCCUUAGGAAAUUGUCGUGGUCUAGCAAAUCUGCAUCACUUUUUUUGGAAAAAGUAGAGGUUAAAUAGCAAAAUAGGGAAAGGAAUGUGAUAUUCAUGUACUGGAAAUCAUGUUCCACAUCAUUUCAUUCAUCAUUUUCGCAAGAGCAAAAACAUGUCAUGGAUGCUAUGUUAUUCUUUAACAGUGCUCUGUUGUCUCCAUACCUAAUGUGGUUUUGAAGUAUGUAAUAGUGGAUGUUAAAACAGUGUUAGUAAAAUUGGUGCCAGUCAUUCUGAUAGGACACCGUCCAACUUAGUGUACCAUAUGAGGGCAGGAAAGGAAAUUGCCAAAGGGGAAAUUCAACAAACACGUGAGGGGCUAACAGAAAUGGUUGAAGGGUUUGUUACAAAACACAUUAUAAAUGCAAGAAACAGGGGAGGAGAGCAUACGGAGAUACAGGGAAGUCUUAGGGUUUGGCCCAAAUUGGAAUAAAAGCGCAGGAUAUUCUACUUACACCAUCCACCUUUCUCCAAUUAACAAAUCAAUUUCUCAAAUCGCCAAUUCUGCUCCACGAGAAAUAAUACCCUAUAGAUCCCCAAUUUCUUAAAAAACGCUAACUGAUGUGCAUCUCCAAUUGAAGUGCAAGCUAGGUCUAUUGUUAGGGGGCGAAGAAAACUGCUGUAUUCGGCAUCAAAGUAAGCACAGGGAGUUACAGGUUUUAGUUAUGAAUAAAGAAAUUGAUGGGUGGGAUAUGGAUGAUAGCGAAGAUCAGUACGGCAGCGUAGGAAGCAAUGACAUGGAAGAAUUGGUGGAACCUUUCCCAAAUACCGCAGCAAGCUUGAUUGCACCGAUGACCAUGAAAGUAGAGGUCAAGUAACGUUUUCAUCAUUUUAGACAGCCACAUUCUGAAUUUUCUGAAUCACUUUGAUCCAGUGUUCUGAGAAUUUCUUCUCAUGGCAGCUGUUGCCUGGCUCGAUGUCGGUCUUCUCAGAAGUACACCAGAAUGAUUUCCUAACCAAGCACCAAAUUUCAAUGGUUUUGAUUAAUUUCCUACAUGUCUUCCACGUAAUAUCACUAUCCUUAUUGUCACUCUCAUCAUCUGAAAUCCCACAUCUUAUUAUGAGCAUGACUAAUCAUCGUAAUAUGAUUGUUCCCUUCAUCAUCUCUUAUUUUGCUUCUUCGAUUUCUUGUGGUAUUAGCAAUCUGAAGGGUGCUAAAGGAUUUUACUAUUAAUUCUAUCCAAUUGAACUAGGAACUGGUACCUAAAUAGUGGAAGGGUUUCUGAAACCUGUCAUUCCAAUUCAACCUAUAAUUAGAAUAUAUCGUGUCACUUUCCAGGGACGUGUUUAGGUGUAUGCUCAGAUCAGAUGUUAGAUUGGUUUAACAUAGUUAUGAACUUGGGUAGGAAUUUCAUUUAAACAAUAUAACUUAGCUUACAUUGAAAUGAUUCAUAACCCUUUAUUACGUGGCUUUGAAAUGUUUCAUGAAAAAGAGGAACAAAUAAUUGUGUUUCCAUAAGAAGCUGAUUUUUAGCUGUUAUUUAAGUAUCAAAGAUGGCUGAUCUGAAAAAGAUAAAAGCCACUGAUGAACAUUGGAUCAGAAAGCCAAAUCUAGGAGUUGCAGAUUUUUGGAAUGAGCGUGCCAAAAACUAAUCUGGGAUUAGCGUUUUCUGGUAACUGUUUUUAAUUGCAAUUAAGUUUUUGUUUUAUGAAAUGUUAGCUAGUUUACAUGUCUCUUCUGUUGACCGCACCAUUUAGUUGAAUUUACUGCUCACUUUCACUGUUUAUCUGUAAGAAGUUUUGGCCAAACAGGCACUCAUCGGUUUCUGUUUUGCAUCUGAAAGAACUGUGCUGGUCUUAUCAAAAAGCUUAACGUGAUGGUUCCAGUGACAGCUAUUUCUCUCAAUAACUAAUUAUUCUAGAGGAUUUUGUUGCAAGUAGUAUUAUUAUUUCCCCUUUAUGUAUUGUACAAUUAGUACUGAAUAUCUUUUAUUCUUCUCAAACUAUAGCCAUAUAUGCAUUGUACAAAAAUUGGAUUUAAAAUUCAUUUUGUCGUAUUAGAACUUGUUGGCAACCGUUGACUAGGCAAAUAUAAUAGGUUAGAGUCUACACCUUUAAAUAGAUAGAUCAUUUUCCUGAUUUUUCUGAAACGUUUACCAAUCACUUUUACCUCUAGUUCCCUAUUGGUCAUGCAUCCUUGGAUAGGCAAAAAUAUUAAUCUAGCCCUAGGUUUAUAUGCAGCCUAUAGUGGAAAUUUUAUUAAUUGCCUUAGUUAUUAAAAAAAAAAAAAAAAAAAAAAAAAAAAAAAAAAAAAAAAAAAAAAAAAGAGGUGAAGAAGCAUGGGCAGUCUCAACAAGACUACAAGGACAUAUAUUGACACUAACACUCAUUGGGCACUCCCUUACAUGCGUUUGAUACUUCUCUAACAAUAUCGACAAUUCUGUGACUAGAAGGUAUGCUUAUGAGAUAUUCCCAUAAUCUCCUAAGAAUUUAUUCUUGACACCUGACCACCUAAUGUUGAAGUUCCAAAUUUAAGAUCCACUAUCUAAAAACAAGUCUUAAAAUGUAUUUGAAUGCUGUACAACAUUGUUCUUGGGUGGUGAAAAUGGUUAGUAUGAAAAUCUAUAGUAUUUUUUUUAUUUUUAUUUUUCCAUUUUCGGGUGGUGAAAAACAAAAUUUUUUCGAAAAGUGUGCCAAAAAAAUUAUAUUCUUGUAAUGUAAAAAAAUACCAAGAAGUGAUUAACUGAAUUUUUUUUUUUAUUAGUGACCGUGGGUAUUCAGGCCAACUUACACGCACCUUAUCUAAUUCCAUGGGGUCCUGAAAUUUAGAACUGGGUACUCACCUAAGUGGUUCUGAGAGGACUCGAACUGGUAAUUAUUGGGGAGUAAACCCAACGCCUGACCAUUGAGCUAUCACUGAGGGUUAGUGAUUAACUGAAUUUGGAUAAAGAACUGAUAGCACAAGUGUUAUAGAGGAAGAGAAGUUAUAGUUACUAUUUAUAUAAGCUAAGAUAUGGACAUGGAAUUUUUAAGACCAAUAGGUAAAAUAUCAGGGAAAAGUUAUUGCAUAUACACUUACAUGUGUGUAUAACGUAUAACGUUUGUGUGUAUCCAUCAAAAUCUCCACACACCUCAUAUCCUAAUUUUUAAUCUGUGGUCAUGUUAUAGCACAUUUGUAUCCCCUCUUGUCUCCAUGCUUCUUUAGAAAGUUAGGAAAACCAAGGUGGCACCCCUUGCUAGCAUGGCUCUUGCAAAAGGAUGUAUUACAGUGAAUCGGUAAUGCACCUUUUAGAACUGAAACAAAUUCAUCAUAACAUACUAAAGACAAAUGCAUGGAAGCAAAUGAUAUAACCAUCUAACUUUGAGAACUCCAGCUAGCACCUGGAUGCUUUGAUUUGCAUACCAUUACAGAAGAAGUGAGCUUCGAACUUUUUCAAUUUUGAAACAAUUUAUCGAUACGGAACAGACAUAGAAGCAAAUAAAAUUACCAAUUACUUUUGCUAAUCUAGUCAAGGCUUGGGAUGUAGUAUACCAUGUUAAUGUAACAAGUGACUGACAUCCUGUUAUGGGUGUAACCUAAAUUAUCAAGUCCCUGUGAGAAAAUGCAAUUCUCAAAGUAAAUUCUACUGUAACUAUGUGUUAGUUUGAAAUUUUUUAAAGCACGUGAUUGAACAAUUUGACAUUUUAUUUAUGCAACCUUUUAAAUUCGAAUAUUUCUCUGGGUUAUCCCCCUCCCCUUGCUCUCCCCCUCCCUGCCAUGCGUGUUCUCACCUACAUUAGUAGUACAUACCAAAAAAUGGAGGGGACAUGUUUCAUUGAGACAACUGUCAAGCUGGCCAUUUUUUAUUGGUGUCUGAUUAUGGUAGGAAGAUAAAUAAUUAAAUGUGCAUCUGAAGAGAGAAAAAAAUACGGUUAGUAAUUAUGGUAUGAAAGGUAAGCAAUCAAGAAUGGAAUAUCUGUUUCUUAUAAUGUAAAGCGAAGAAUGUAUUAUGAUUAAGGUUUAGUGAUUGACUGUCCUAUAUAUAGUAGCUAGUAAGUAGUAAUCACGCUAGAAAAUCAGACCAUUUUCAAAUUUCGGUGUACAAUGCGGAAAAAUCUGAAAGCUAAUAGAUCUCAGAAAACCAACUCACUUUGAUCCUAUCCUUGAUUGAUUUACAACUCUUUUUGAAUCACAUUUGUUAAACGGGAUCAAAAUGUGUGUUUGACUUCUUUAAAUUUGCUGACCACUUCCGUUUCAUUUGUAUCUUGCAGAUGUAGUAUAUUACUUGGUUUCCUUCUAUUUCAUCUCCGUAUAGAUGGAACAAAAAAUGAAUUAAACAAUCUCAUUUGUAUUUUUUUGUAAAAUAAAUUUACUUCAUUACGUUUGACUUUAAUGGGCUUUGGCUUCUCGAGUCACUAGUCAUUUGAAACAGAGCAUUAACAUCUCUAUGUAUUUGGCAUGUAAGGAUUUGGGGAACUGGGAAACACCUACGAAGCUUCCUUGACCUCUCUCUUGAUAAAUAGGCUAUGUGGGCUAUCGAACCGGCCAUGCAAUGGCUUCUGUCUGGGAAGAAACUAAUACAUUAUCUUGGCCGUAGACAUGUAUAUGGCUAAUCUGUUAUCUUGCUAUUAUUUUUUUGUUUUAACAUGAAUUUGGAAGUUAUUUAUCAUUUUCUUUCCAUUGUUAAACAGCUUACUUUUUAUUACCGAUCAUUCUAUUUUUUUGCUGAAAUAUUAAGAGUGAAACAUACAUGGAAUAUCUUAUACUUCUGUAUAUAUUUUAUUUCCACAGGAGAAUCCUGAGAACUGUGUAACAACUUCUGUUAAGUACCAAAUGGCAAUAGUGGUUCACACUAGAGACCCACCUUUUAAUAAAUCGAGUAGUUUUCACAGAGUUCUCAUUUCCCAAUUCUUGGCCAGUCGUGUCAAUUUAUGUGAUUUCAUGGAAAAUGACACAGGCAAACUUAUCCGGUUAUCCCCAACAUUUAUACAAUGUAAAUACAUUGCUAUUAACAAUACUAGCCUGGUGGGAAAAUGGGUCUAUAUUAAAUUUUAUUAACUCAUGUAGCCAACCUCUAAUUUAUUGGGAAUAAGCAGCAGUAUGUUGGAUCCAGAUUCCACAGUAUAGCCUAAAUUUUGUUGUUGCUAGAGUACAUAGUAUAAUGUUUGAUCAUUUGACUAUCUUAACCCCAUGAUACAUCACUUUCUUCCAGGUACUUCGAUUUUCUUUGGCGGACUCCUAUUCUACACAGUGUUGUAUGGGUAUCUCAGAUGAGCUUUCUAACUGAGCAGCUUUAUUGCUCUUUUAAUCACAGCUAAAUACUCAAAAAAGUUGGAUUCACUGUUGUGUUACCUCAAAGCACUGUGGCGCCUAUUAGGGGCUUAGUUUCAAUACGCUUCAACUCCUGAAGCACUUAAGAUCCUGUUCCCAAGGAAAGGAGGAUUCCGAGGCUGAUAUACUGAUGUGGGCUGACAAAAAAACGUAGCAUUUAUACAGAAUAUCUCAAAUGGAAAAUUUUAAGGACAAGAACCUUUCAAGUGCAUUAGUCUUUCUUGGGCUCCUCAGUGCAGUUGAGCCAUGGGUUGUUAUUUGGAAUCUCGUUACCAAGGGUAAAAGUGAUGAGGAGAAGAAGUUGAAUUCUGCUUAUAUAAUCAGUGUUGCCAGGAAGAUUGGCUGCUCCAUUUUCUUGCGGCCUGAAGAUAUCAUGGAGGGAACCCUAAAGAUGAUCCUUACUCUUAUGAGAAGUAUAAUGUAUUGGAGCCUUCAGCAACCUAUGGACGAGCAAUUGUCCCCAUUGCCUGUUGUUUCUAGUCAUGAGGCAUCACUCGAACCUUCAUGUUUUCUCUUUUGGGGUGGAAAUUGUGGGCUAUACUGCAGCCUGCAAUUGCCAAUUAACCUAGACAUCCACCUUGAAGACAAGGUGGAUUGCCGAGGGGUUCAAGUAAUGAUAGGACACCGUCCAACUUAGUGUACCAUAUGCAGGAAAAGGCUGAGGAGGGCAUGAAAGGAAAUUGCCAAAGGGGAAAUUCAACAAACAAAUGAGGGGCUAACAGAAAUGGUUGAAGGGUUUGUUACAGAACACAUUAUAAAUGUAGGAACCAGGGGAGAAGAGAGCAUGCGGAGAUACAGAAAAAGAUAUUAGCCUCUCGAAUGCCAAAUGACCUAAUUUCUAUUUUCUGUUGCUGAGUAUAAUUCUAUAAGUUUACAUACUGUUAUUUUACUACAACUUAAUUGUAUUUCUAGUACUCAAACUCUUCGUUCCAGUCAGCUUGCUUUCACAUAUGUUGUUCUUGUGCUCAUUUGAAUCUGCCUUUGAUACAGGGUCCUACCACAUUUAGCAUAUGAAGUACGGUGGAAGAAUCUUUAAAUCUUUGGAAACACUCAACCCUUCAGAGAAUCAUCAUUCUGGAAAAGGCUGGAUUGACGUUUCUAUUGGUGGUAUGUUUUCACAAGUAAAAAAAGCCUUCUACAGUAACUAUGUUAAUCCUUUUGAAUACGUCUGUUCUUGAAUGCUUCACCUUCUUGCUAGUUUGAGAUUUUUACCCUGGAAGUAUUAAACUUUGCUGUCUCGAUCUGGCUAUAAUAAUAGCAUUCAUGGUUUCUAUGGGGAUUGGAGAAUAAUACUUUUCUGUCAUUCAUUAAACGAGGAUUAUGAGAAUCAGCCAACUAUACAGGGAAUCUGAAAAUAGGAAACUCUAGGAGAAAAAUGGAAAUAAUCUAAUCACGUCCCAUAAAUUACAUGUCGAUAAUUAGUCAACUCAUAAUCUCCUAGAAUAGGAAAUCAAUACAUAAAGACACUUCCCCUCAAUCUAGUUCAAAGAUAUUUGUACACCCCACCUUGCAUAGAAUACUCCAAAAAAGCAGCUCCAUUAACACCCUGAAUAUAUCUGCAAGUUGUCCUUUGGAAGGUACAAAUGUCGUGCAAAUCUCGUCGGUGUCAAUCUUUCCCUUGAUGAAGUGUAUCUAGCUCCUCAAGUUUGGUAUAAUCAUGAUGUAACGAAUUAUGAGCUCUACUGAUGGCUGCCUUGUUAUCGUAAUACAAUCUUAAAGGCGGCCUCAAGUACAAUCUUCAACCAUAGAGUUCAUGUAUGCCAUGAGCUAAAGCCCUGGACUCGGUUUUUGGAUUUGAUCUAGCCACUAUGUGUUAUUUUUUAUUCCUUGUCAAUAGAUUAACUUCAACAAAAGUGCAAGAUCCAGCUGUAGAUCGUCCAUCUAUUACUGAACUUUCUCAAUCUGCAUCUUGUCCAUUCUUUGAAAAUAUUAAAACAUAACCAGGUGUGGAUUUUAAAUAUCUCAAUAUUCUUAGUACAGCCUCUAAGUGACACUCUUGUUGCGAGUGGAUUAACUGGCUAACUAAACUAAUCGUUUAAGCUAUAUCCUGUCGUGUAAGAGAUAAGUAAAUCAAUUUUCCCACAAAUCUUUGAUAUCUUCCUUUAUCAACAAAGUCUCAUGUUACUUCUCCAAGUUUAUGGUUGUGGUCUAUGGGAGUGUCAACCGAUUUACAUCCCAGCAUCUCGAUUCCAUUUAACAAAUCUAUGACAAAUUUCCUUUGAGAAAUAAAAAUACCCUUUGCUGAUCUUGCAACUUCAAUUCCAAGAUUAUACCUUUUUGCCCUAGGUCUUUGAUUUCGAGCUCUGUAGCCAACAUACCUCUCUAUAUCACCACUUUUUAAGCGUCAUCAUUAAUGAGUAUUAUGUCAUCCACAUAGACUUUUAAAUAUUGUGAGUUUGUUUUGAGAUGUACGCUUGAUAAAGAGGCAAGGAUUGAGGCGUACGCCUCACAAAAAUCCAAAAAAAUAGUAUUUUUUUUUAAAUAAUACAAAAAUAAGAAGAAUUUGAGAAAGAGGAGACGAAAUGCAGAAAAAGUAAUAAUCUUCUGGAGUUUGAGAACUAUUGGUUACCUCCUUACAAUCUAGUGAGAGACUUCUCAGGUGAGUGAUAAGGCAUGGAGUACGAUAGGUGUUUUUAUUGUUAAGUUAGAAAUACGAUGAGUUGUGUUUUUUUUUUUUUUUUUUUAAUAAUCUGAGAACUAGAUGGGCCCAAAUAAAAUGUUUCUUUCAUUGAAAGUCACAUUUAGACUUGGAAAAACUAAAAAUAAAAUAAAAUAAACAAAAAUAGGUCAAAUGUCAAAGUAAACCUGGGGCGCAUGCCUCACUCUUCUUGAGGCACGUACCUUAGAGUGUCUGCAGUGAAAAAUGGAGUGUCAAUAGAAGGUGGAAAGGUGUUUCACCUAUGGAAUAUUCAUUUUGUGCUUAUACUAUACAAUAUAAUAAUCUACUCUAAUGUGUAAGAUAAUUAUGUGAUAUUACGUACUCAACUAUGAGAAAUUUAAUUCUUGAGCAGUGAUGGUGCCGAAGAAUAUUAUGAAACUCUACAUUGACUGCUACGAAGCUCUAUUCGAGCUAGUCAAUUUGAAAGUUCUCAAAAAAUUGUACAACUUAGGGGUAAGAUAUAGAUGAAGUAGUGUUAUCCUUGCUUUCUUGAAGUCAUAGCGAGAAUUUAAUUAUAACAACACACUCUUUACCGAGUAUCAGAGGAUGAAGUUAUUGAGUCUAAUUGUGGAUUGCAAGAUAUAUCAAUAUCACCACUGCUAAAUACCCUUCAAGAACACAAAACAAUUGUUGUCUUGGACCUUUCUCACAAUUUGUUAGGUAUAAUGAUUUAUUUGGACAUUGAUCGUUGACAGAAAAUGCACAUGGGAUUUUGCGCUUGCUUGCUUCUCAAUUGACAUGCAAGCGACGCAUUUCACUUCCUAACUUUAUAUAGUCUUCAUUAUAUGAGUUAUAUGUAUUUUAGUGUCUAACUAAUUUUUUUAGUUGUGUUACAAGAAAUGGAAAAGUGGAACAACUUAAGCAAGUGUUUACUGUUAGAAUGCAGAAGCGGAAUCAUCUAGAAAUUAAAAAAUUUCUUUAAUUCAAUAAACAAGAUCGUCUAGAUGUUCCUGUGUAUGUUAUAUCAAGAAUAAGUUAUAUCAAGAAUAACGUAUUUGAAUUUUUACCCAAAUUCGAUGAUCAAUUCUUGAAUAAAUUUUGAAUUACGAAAUUCCAGCUUUUUAAUUUCAAGAACUUGAUGUUUCAAACCUCCAAAUCUCCUGUGAUAUUUUCCAAAGUCAAAGACUAUACCUGUGGAUGGGCACCUUCUUUUAAUUAAUCAAGAAAGUGAUUCUUGAAUUGAACAAUUGAAUAAGAUGAGCAAAUAAUUAUUUUCUCUCUUUUUCUUUCUCCAAAUUUGAACACUAUGAAAUUAUGUAUUAUGAUUGUUGUACAAUUCCAUAUAGUUUCCAUUUAAUCUCUAUUUAUAGAGAUAGAAUAGUUUUAAUCCUUGUAAAAUAAUAAUUCAACAUUCAAAUAAAAGUUCUAAUUAAAAUCUAAGUACGAGUUUUAAUUAAAGUUCAGAUCCAAUUAGCUUACAUUUAAUUUCAUGUGCAGUUCUAGAACUUCAAUUACAAUUAUAAUUUAAUUUACAACUUUUAUAGUAAUUACAAUUAAGUACAAAACUUUAUUGAAUUACAAUUAAGCCCAAAACUAUUAUAAUUAUCGUAAAUAAGUUUCAAUACUUUAUGGAAUUACCAUAGGGACUUGAUUGGACAUAUAUUAUUCAAGCUCCAAUAGUUAGAUUAUGUUUAAUCAACCAUACACCACCCAAUCCAAUUAUUAGGGUUUACUUUUUUCACUUUUUUCACUAAAGACAUAAGACUGAACUCUUUGAGUGUAUAAGAUCACAAAAAACAAUAAAUUCGUAAUGCUUUCAUUUGACCUAUCAUAUAUGUAUUUUAUCCUCAUUCGAGAUUCGAUAAUUAGAUACGAGCAUAAAUGAUCAUUUUGUCAUUCUAAUUAUUCUCACUAACUUAAGUAUCAUUUUCUUCAAAGGUCCUGUAAACUAAUCACAGAUGUUGAAGUUUGGACGUCGCUAAACACUGAAUUUAGAUUUUAACCGUUCCACAGAAAAUACUCAAGUAGUCACUCUACCUAUUUUUUAGGGCGACAGUUCUCAAUACGAAUUCAUGUUCUGUACUCCGCUCAUUCUCAAGUUUUCAACUCAUCGAAAUAUUUGACCAAUCAAAUUGAUCUUACCCACCCAUUGAUGAUCAAAGAAUCAUUAAAAUCACGAAAAGAUAUACAUAAUCAUGUCAAAAGAUUUAGAUGAAAUACACAGCGGUCAAGCGAAAUUUAAUUCUCCUCAUAAUCAUGCUAUAAAAUUUAAUUCGACACGUGGUCCAUUCAAUACACUUCAAGUGUAUUAGUGUCAUCUUUAACUAUUUUUGUGUUAAAAACAAAACAUAAACCUCAAUAGUGAAUCGAUCAAUAUUACAACCUUCAACACAAGGUGCCAACCCUUAUACAUUGCUUGUGAACAAAUUGUUUAUAAUCAAAAUAUAAGAUGUGUCACACAGUACUUCUCAACGCAAGUACCCAACUUAUAUUAAGUGAUCAUAGCACUUUAAUUGGUAUGCUCAAUAUAAAUAAAUACAAUAAAUAAAUCAAGCCAUAAUUUAUUUAUUAUAAAUUAUAGCAAAAUAUACGAUAUGGGCACACAACCGAACAAAUCUCUCACUUGUCCUAUAGUAUGUGCGUCGCAUCUUGUAGGUAUCCCUCAAAAACUUUAGCCAAUAGGCUUUUAGUAAACAAGUCUGCAAGUUCAUUCCAAUAACAAUGUUAUUGACAACCACAUUUUCUUUACCACUAUCUUUCUUAAGAGAUGAUAUUUUCGUUUAAUGUGUUUAUCGCUCUUAUAACUUUUGAUUCUUUAGCAUUUGCAACAGUCCUACUGUAAUCCCAAUACAGUGUAAAGGAUUGUGCAUAUGCAAGCACCACCUCAAUGCCCAUAAGGAUUUUUUAAGUCAUACAGCUAAUUCAGUAGCUUAACAAGCUCCCAAAUACUUUGCAUCAACGGUGAAAUUAGCAGUGCAUGAUUGCUUGAUAUUGCUCUUGUACCUAUGAUAAUUUUAAACUGGUCUUCACUGAGUUUCUACUUUCUUGAAGUACCCGCAUCAACGUACAGAUAUGAUUAAUGGUUCCAAAAUCUACAAUUUUGGAAUUUGUAGCAUCAACUACUAAACAAUAUUUAGUAACGAAAAACUUCACACUUAUUUUACUUUCUAGUUGGUGCAUCUGUGCAGUCUUUCUCCAUUGUCCUUUUUAGACCGUAGUCGAAACUCCUGCGUCAAGGCUUUCCAUCUAUUUUUGAUCUUUUGUUGCUCUCAUGCUUAUUAAUAGCUUUUUUCCUCUUCUUUCAAAAUCUGCCCUUUUUUACUUGGAAACCAGAGGAGUCACCAACUGAUGCACAAGCAUCGUCGUUUUACUAUUAAGACCACUUUCCACAUUACAACUCUCUUAUUAUCUCAAUCAAUGGUAUUUUCAUCUUGUAUAAGUGAUAAUUCAUAGUAAACUAUGAAAAAUUAUCAAGUAAAGAAAUAAAUGCCAUAUAAAGAUAGAUGGUUGCAUCCAAACUCUCAGCCAUGUUUGAAGUAUGCAAUCAUAGUCCGCCUAUGAACCUUCAAAGGCAUUUUGAAUUGCAUGAAUAUGUUCUAUAAGGUACAAAUGGCUUCAAAAGAGCCUUCAUACUUCGAUGACCAAACAUGCUCUAAAGGGCUAAUAGUAUGUCAUGGGAGGUACUCUGUGGCUAUGAUGCUCGGACUCUUCAAAAAUGGUGAAGUACCCGUGUCGACAUGACACGACAUGGAUACCGACACGGGAUAUGUGUCGGAUCCUCGGUUUUGAACUCGGACAUGGCUGAAAAAGGGAGAAAACAAUGGACGGUGAAGUAUUGCUUCUAACUUGCGUUUGUAGCGGCAACAACCAUUUGUUUUUAGUCUUUUGAUAGAAAUAUGUAGAAAUUUAUGGAGGAUUGCAGCAACAUUCUCAAAAUUUUGCAAAAAGGAGGAGUCCAAUGAAGAAGUUAAUCAUACGAGGGAAUUUUCGUAACUAGUUGGGCUAUCCUUCAGUAAGUGUAUUUUUCCAAUAAAAAAAGAAGACGAAGAAGAAGAAGAAGAAGAAGAAGAAAUAAAUGAAAGAAUUAAGUGGUUUAAAAGUCAACAAUUCAUACUGCCAUAAAUUACGUGUUAUCUCUAAAAGUUUUAUUAUUUAUUGUAAAUGGCAUGAUUUAUUGUUUGCUUUAAUUGAAUCAUUUUUUUAGGAAAAAAAUUAUAAGACGUAUCCCCGUAUUGGUAUUCAAAAUUCGGAUUUUUUUUAACCGUAUCCCCAUAUCUUAAUUUUUAAAAUGAGAAGAAUCCGACUCCUAGAUCUGUACCCGUAUCCGACACCCGCACCCGAGUCCGAGCAUCAUAGCUCUGUGGUAGGUGUUGUCUCUGAGUCUUGUAUCAUUCAUCAAUGUUGGAUGUGAGUUAUGGGCCCAUCAACCCCAAUAUCCUGAACAAUUUAUUUUAAAAUAUGUUGAGAGUCCAUUUGCAGAGCCACUUAAAGUUUCUCAUCCAAUCCCAAGUCAUAAAGUUCCCCUACUUCAUCUCCACUUGGGAGGCGCCAUAGUUGGAGCUAUUAAUUGUAUGGUGCAUCAUCACCUUUAGUUAACCCAUCACCUUCUCCCACAUGUUCUGAAUCAAAUGUUGCUUCCCUCACCACCCAUGAAAGCUGUAUAACCCAGCAUUGUUCUAGCAUGUACAAGACAAGCUCAACAACUGAUAAGGUAUUCUGCAUUUCUCAUCGUUGCAUAUUAUUCUGUUUUGAGAAAGAUGUAGCUCAAAGAAUGUCGAAGGUGGAACCUUCAUCAAAUAUCUCGCCAGCUAAAUCAUUCUUUAGAAGCUCCAGUAGGUUCUCUUAUCAGGAUGAUUAUGAUGACUAGAAUUUUUUAGACCAUUUGUUGUGGACUAUGAUAACAUGACAGAUCUAGGCACCAGGUAUCAUACAACAUUCUUGGUUGCAAUUUGGUAAUUUUACAAGCAAGGCACUUGCUGCUAAAAUGUUUUAUGGAUAAUUCAUGACUAUACGAGUUUGUUGUCUUCCUAUUGUUGGUGAUGUUCGAAUAAGGAAUCAAAACACUGAUAAUAUAUGGGAUGAAACCAAAAGGUUCAUGCUUAAAGAGAUGUGGCAAAUUUGUCAACUUGAAAUAUUGUGUUUCCAUCGAGUUGAAAACUAAAUAUUCAAUGAAAAGAGACACAAGUGAAUAAUGAUGUAAAUACUAUUCAAAUAACUGUUGUCUAGAAUUAUAGCUUACAUAGAAACAAUUCAACCUUGGGAGUGACCUGGCGUAUUUACCUUGCUUCAAAAUAUUUGCGCAUCUUGGUCUCAAAAUUAUGCACGAAAAGGGUGCUCAAAAGGUUGUUCAUCAUGGUGUUUAGAGAAUUAUAUCCUAAACUUGUCAUCUCAUUUCUAAUUUUACUAAUGAAAGGAAAGUUUCUAGAUAGUCACCCGAGGAGUAUUGCAUGUGGAAAGGCAUAAAUGAUGUAACUAGAUUAUGAUUCCUUAGAUAAAUUGAAUGCUUUGAGAAGAAGUGCUAGACCUUGGUAAGUUAAUCUUCAUGCCAAAUUUUCCUAUCGAGCCUAGAUUGUUCUUUGGAUGUGGGAUUGUUGAUCAAAAAAUGUGCAGCACAAAUGAAUUUACUUGAGAAGCUUGGUUUAGUUGCUUUUAAAACCUUCGAGGUGUCUGUAUAUUUUUAUGCAUUAAGGAUAAAGAAGUAUUGCUAUCUCUUUUCUUCUAUUUCUAUUCUCUCAUGCAAGUGUUGUUAUAUUUAUUUUUAUUGUGCUGCUUUUGUAUUUUUUGAGUUUUUCUGAGUCAUCCCAACUUCUUUCUUAAGCACAACUCCCAAAAAAUUUUCACAUGGAUUCAUCAGCUGUGUCUCUGUCUGCUCAACCUCCACAAUCCUUGACUUAGUGAUCCUCAUCCAUUCUUCUCUCCUCAACCACUCCAUCUUCCUUUUCUUCUUUUUUCUUUAACUUUGUCUCCAGAUUCAUUUCUUCAUAUAUCAUUGCUUCAAUACUCAUCUCAUUUCUCUAAUGUUUUAUUGUCUAUCCAAGUCCACAAUCUCCCAUCAUACCAAGGGGUCUCUUUCCCCCUUAAAUUCAAGGCAUGUACUUGACUAAAUCUCCAGUUGAUGUGUGCGAUUGAUUUUCUCAAAAAUCAAAUCUUAUAAGAUUAUCCAUUGUAAAUUCCAUUUCUUUCAUCAUGUCUAUCAUUAAAAUAUGAAGGAUUCACUACAAUCUAAUAUUUUUCUCAAAAUGGAAGACUUUCUUCCAAAUACCGAUCCACCGUCAGAUGAACUUCUGUAAGAUUCAUCGUCUUAUCCCUUUCAAGUUUCGAAAUCAUAUACUUAAAAUGACCGACAACAUUUUUCAAGAUCAAGUUCUUCCAGAUAAUAUGUCGUUACAAUGCAAGCUCUAGAGGGAACUUAAGAAGAUAAUCAAAAAGUUCAUGGUUGAGAUUGAACCCGUAAAAAACAUAAAACAAGCUUCUUAAAAAACUUCCACGAGAUGCUAUGCAUCUAGGUACUGGCUUCCGAUAUAGUUGUACAUGUUAUUCUUCAAACAAUAAUUGCAUUUUAUAUUUUUAACAAUAUUGUAAUAAUUGAGAAAAUAAUGAUAUAAUAUCUACAAGAACUUGGUCUUGAAAAAUGUUGUUGGUUGUUUUAAACAUAUGAUUUCGAAACUUGAAAAGAAUGAGACAAAAAUGACAUUGUAGAAGUUCAAAUUUUAUCUGACGGUAAGUUGGUUUUUGGAAGAAAAUCUUUUGUUUUGAGAAAUAUUGUAAUGAAUCUACUUUAGAUUUUAAUUAUUGAUAUAAUGAAAGAGAUGAAAUUUACAAUGGAUAAUAUUAUAAGAUUUGAGGAUAAAAUUGCUAAAACAAGCAAUUAAUCACAUAUAUCUAAAGAUUUAAUCGAAGUACAUGCAUUCCCUUGAAUUUAAGGGAAAAUGAAACGCUUUGGGAGGGUGGGAGGCGGCAAACUUGAAUAGACAAAAUGAAACAUUGGUGGAGAUGAUUGUAUCUAUGAUAUUGAAGCAAUAGUUGAUAAGAAAAUGAAUCUAGAGAAAGAUUUAAGGACGUAAGAGGAAGAUGAGAGAAAGAUGGAAGAGUUGAGGAGAGAAGAAUGGAAAAGAUCGUUAGGUUAAUAAUGGUGGGUGUUGAGCAGAGGAAUGAAAGGGAGGUUGAGCUGAUGAAAAGAUAAUUGGACACAUAAGUAUGGCAUGUGAAUGAAUUUUUGGGGAUUUUGCUUUAGAAAUGAGUCAAAAUGAAUUAAAAAACUCAACAAAUACAAAAAUAGCACAAUAACAGUUACUAUAACAACACUUGAUAAGAAAAAAUAGAAAUGGAAGAAAGUAGACCGUAAGACAUUUUCAUCCUUAAUGUAUAAACAUGCAAAUACCACAGAGGCUUUAGAAGUGAAUAAUCCAAACUUCUCAAGUAGCUAGUUGGACCAAACAAAGUUUGUUGCAGAGCAGAGCUUCCUCAACGUUGCAUUACCAUCUUCAUGCCUAAAAAGCAAACCUAGUUAAUACUUUUAUAUACGCAUCAACUUAUAUUUAUAUGAACCCCAAUCAGGAGAUUCAAGAAAAUAUUUAUAGAAAGGAAACAAGAUUUGCAAACUGAUUUUAUUGAUUUAAAAAAAAAAAAAAAAAAAAAAAAAAACUCUAUCAAGUGUCCAGGUAAGAUUUGAUGUUGUGCUGUAGGUGAAAAGGAUUUCAAUAAGAUAUAAUUUCAUAUUAUUAAACAAAUGUACAAUAUAGAAGUCUGGAGAUUUAGUAAUCGUAAUAGGCUGGAGCAAAGGAUUUUUCAUGGAUGAGCUUAAGAAACAUAUCCAAGAUGAGAUCCUUGGUUUGUGGUAUCCUCUAAUAAAUUGAUAAGAGUGCAAAAGGGAUAAAAAUGCAAAAGAUCACACCAUUAUAUUUUUCUCUUGACUCUUAACACAGCAGCCUACUAUGAUAUCUCCUGAACAUGUUGAUUCUAUAAGAUGAUUAUCUCUAUAAUAAAAUAAAGCAGAAAGAUAACAUGCAAAUAAUGUCGAAGAAUUGGAUUACCUUUCGAUGCUCUUUACCUCGCAACAAAAGCUCUACGGGUAGAAGAUCAUGAUCAAUUUUAGCAUGUGCCUUGUACUUCAACUUGACAGUAGAUAAUUCUCCUUGAAAGCUAUCUUUUAGUUUAUACACUUCAACUUUUUCGAAGAGCUGUAUACCAUAUACAAAGGUGAUAAUAUGCCUUGAGUCAGAAUUGAAACUUCUGGGUUCGCUUCAUAGGAAAUAAUAUUACCUGACUAAGACAAAAAAGGAUACGACUACAAUACUCGGAUCUCAAAACCUACAAGGCAACAACAAACAUAUAUCAUGCAUUCAUUUCCAACUUGACAAGGUUGACUUGAGUGGUGAUUUUGUGAAGAUACAUGGAGUCACAUAUCCAAUAAAGUGCAACGUAAUAUAUCAUAAUAAAUAGUAAAAUCCCAAAGAGCUUCAUUUCCCCGAGAGGGGUAUGUCUGUGUGAGGAUCAAAUGGAAACAAUUCCUGGUUCAAAAAUUGACAUACAUUUCCAAUAUUGUAAAAACCCAAGAAAAUAGUGAUUGCAAAAGCUCAAAGUAAACAUCAGCACUUGCUGUCUUCUAAGCAUAAAGGGAACCAAAAUGGUACAAAAUUUAGAAAGGAAUUCAAAUCCAGAAUAAGUUUCAGCCAAGGCACCCAAAUUCAUUUGCGGAACAUGACACUGAACCCAGACAUAAGGUACACUGAAAGCCACUAGUUUGCUUGUAAAUAAAGAGAAAAGUGCCGCCCGUUGCAAAACCUUAGCCGCGGGUGCACAAAAUAGACUCCAAAAAAUCUAUAAAUUUUCUUCGACUGCUUUGUUUGCAAAUUGCUUAAUUCAUUCCAAAAACACCUAAAACUUUUGAAUUCUGUGUUUGCAAAUUGCUUACAUGAAUUGCAUUAACUAAUUUGCAAGUAUCACCUUUUUAAACAUAAAAUUUUUGUUGUACAUGUGGCUCAUAUAGAGUGGAACACAGGUCUUGGAUCAAAUGGGUCGAUGCGGGCGCGAAGCGGAGUGGAGUGGAGUGAGAGGAGCGGAGCGACGGCAUCGGUCUUGCGCGGGUUUAAUUCACUCUCUGGUUGUUAGGGACGCUGAAUAGGUUGGGGGUGCGAGAGCAGCGCCCCGCAGUACGGUACAGGGGUAUUUUCUGUACGGGCCUUAAAGUUUUAUAUGGGCCCAGGCUAGGGUUAGUAUAAAAAUACGUUGUAACCCUAUUUUUCAGAACUGAAUAAAGAAAUCUCUACUUCGCUCUCGUGGACAUAGGCACAUCGUCGAACCACGUAAAAUUCUUGUGUUGAUUUUCGUUUUCAUCUCUUUAAUAUUGCGCAUAAAAUCCAACAACUGGUAUCAGAGCUAGGUUCAGAUGGCGAGUUCUUCGGUUGCAAAAUUUGAUGUGAUGAAGUUUGACGGAUAUGGGAACUUCGGAUUAUGGCAGCGAAGGGUGAAGGAUUUGUUGGCGUGCAAGGGAUGAUGAAGGCACUAUCUGGGAAGAAACCAGAGGGUACGUCAGAUGCCGAUUGGGAAGAGCUCGAGGCUCGAGUAGUUGGUACAAUUCGGCUUUGUUUGGCGGAAGAAAUCAUGUAUCAUGUCAUGGACGUUGAGUCUCCGACGGAGGUUUGGAAGAAAUUGGAGAGUCGUUAUAUGUCAAAGUCUCUCACGAACAAACUGCCAUCAGAUGGGCCACUUUAAGGGAGACUGUCCUAAUAAGAAGCAGAAUGAUGAAAGGAAAGGUGAUGGGUCCUCAAACUCAGCUAGUGUUGCAGAAGGAGACUCGGAUUCUGGAGAUGGAGACAUGUUAUCAGUCUCUGCAGGUAAUUCUGUAAAAUUAAAUGACUGUUGGAUACUUGAUUCAGCCUGUUCAUAUCACAUUUGUCCUCACUGGGAUUGGUUUCAUUCAUAUCGUUCUGGUAAUUUUGGAUCUAUUUUGAUGGGUAAUGAUGUAUCAUGUAAGGUCAUUGGAAUGGGGUCCAUAAAAUUUAAAAUGUUUGAUGGUGUGAUAAGGACCUUGAAAAAUGUUAGGCAUGUACCUGAGUUGAAAAAGAAUCUAAUUUCUUUAGGCACUUUAGACACAAACGGUUACUCUUAUAAGUCAGAGUGUGGGGCUCUAACAGUGAAGAAAGGGGCUAUAAUUGUGAUGAAGGGUCAGAAAUUAGUAGGGAAUAUCUACAAACUACUCGGGGAUACAGUUGUAGGUGGAGUUGCUACAGCAGAAUCAGAGUCAGAUGACACUCUUCUAUGGCAUAUGCGACUGGGGCAUAUAGGAGAACGUGGCAUGGUUGAGCUUCACAAGAGGAAUUUGUUGAAGGGGGUAAAAUUAUGCAAGUUGAAUUUCUGCAAGUUCUGUGUACUUGGAAAACAGUCCAGAGUACAGUUCAAGAUGGGAAAGUACAAGACAGAGGGAAUUCUUAAUUAUGUGCACUCAGAUGUUUGGGGACCAGUGAGGGGGUUGUCCAAAGGUGGAUCUCAGUAUUUUAUUACUUUCAUUGAUGACUUCUCUAGAAAAGUUUGGGUAUAUUUCAUGAAGCACAAGUCUAAAGCCUUUGCCAAGUUCAAAUUAUGGAAAGCAGAAGUAGAGAACCAGAUGGGCAGAAAAAUUAAGUAUCUGAUGACAGAAAACGGUACAGAGUAUACAGAUUCACAGUUUCUGAGAUUUUGUGAGGAGCAUGGUAUUCAGCGGCACUAUACAGUUUGCAAGACACCGCAACAGAAUGGUGUUGCAGAAAGGAUGAACAGAACAAUUGCAGAACAAGCAAGAUGUUUAAGGCUGAAUGUAGGGCUCUCGAAGAGUUUUUGGGCAGAGGCAGUAAACAUGGCAUGUUAUGUCAUAAACAGAUCACCACGAGCAGCACUAGAUGGGAAAGUUGCAGAGGAAGUUUGGAUAGGUAAUGAAGAUGAUUAUUCUGAAUUGAGAGUCUUUGGUUGUCCGGCGUAUGUGCAUGUAUCUAGUGAUCAGCGAUCCAAACUUGAUCCGAAAUCAAGAAAAUGCAUUUUUUUGGGCUAUGUUAGAAGUGUAAAGGGAUACAUUUUUUGGGAUCCAGAGACAAGGAAGAUGGUGAUAAGUAGGGAUGCAGUAUUUGAUGAAGCAUUCAUGCUUAAAGCUUCUACAAAUAAAGAGAAGCUCGAUUCAGACAAGGGCAGAGGUAAGAGUCAAGUGGUGCAAGUAGAGCUAGACAAUGUAAACACAAAAAUUAAUGCUCAGGGAGCAGAUAGUUCUAGGUCACGGGUGGAGCAGUAUCAUAGUGUUGCCUUAGAUAGACCACGUCGCACGACCAAGCCACCAGCAAAGUAUGAAUUCGAGGAUUCGAUUUCUUAUGCACUCAUUACCAGCAAUAGCGAUCCUAUAACUUUUCAGGAUGCCAUUGGUAGUCAGGAGAAAGGUAAAUGGAUAGAGGUUAUGACAGAGGAAAUUGAAUCACUGUAUAAAAAUGAUACUUGGGAUUUGGUGGAGCUUCCAGAGGGGAGAAACAGAUAGGGUGUAAGUGGGUGUAUAGAAAGAAAGAAGCAAUGUCAGAAAAGGAAGUAAAAAGAUACAAGGCUCGAUUAGUAGCAAAGAGAUACUCACAGAGGAAGGGAGUAAAUUAUGAUGAAAUUUUCUCUCCGGCGUCAGACACACUUUCAUCAGGAUUGUUUUGGCAAUGGUGGCUAAUUUUGAUUUGGAGUUUAGAGUAGCUAGAUGUGAAGACUGCUUUCCUUCAUAGUGAUUUGGAGGAACAGAUUUUCAUGGAGCAGCCAGAAGGGUUUUUGGAACCAGGAACAAAGAAUCUUGUGUGUAAAUUGAAGAAGUCUUUAUACGGGUUUAAGCAAUCUCCACGGCAAUGGUACAAGAAGUUCGACUCUCAUAUGAUUCAGAUUGGCUACAGUCGUUGUGAGUAUAAUUGUUGUGUUUACUACAGAGUUCUUGAGGAUAACUCAUAUAUUUUCUUGAUGUUGUAUGUGGACGACAUGUUAAUUGCUGCUAAGAACAUGAAUGAGGUAAACAAAUUGAAAUCUUUGUUGAGCAGUAAGUUUGAUAUGAAAGACUUGGGACCGUCUUAGAAAAUUCUUGGCAUGGAGAUCAACAGAAAUAGGAAAGUUAGAAAAUUAUGGGUAUCUCAGAAAAAUUAUUUGAACAAAGUGUUAGAGAGGUUUAGCAUGUCAGAUGUAAAAUCAGUUGCCACACCACUUGCAAAUCACUUCAGAUUGUUUAAUAAUCAGUGCCCAAAGAGUGAAGAAGAUGUUGCAGAGAUGUCAAAGGUACCUUAUGCCAGCGCAGUUGGAUGUUUGAUGUAUGCAAUGGUGUGUACUAGACCAGAUUUAGCACAUGCAGUCAGCGUGGUUAGUAAGUAUAUGGCUAAUCUUGGUAGAGAGCAUUGGAGAGCUGUAAAGUGGAUUUUUAGGUACUUGAAAGGUACAAUGGAGUUCGGGAUCAUGUUUGAGAGACGACAUGUUGAUAUUUCAGUUCAAGGAUAUGUAGAUGCAGAUUAUGCAGGGGACUUGGAUGACAGAAGGUCCCAUACAGGUUAUAUUUUCACACUCACAGGUGGGCCCAUAUGUUGGAGGUCAAUGGUGCAAUCACUUGUGGCAUUAUCUACAACUGAAGCAAAGUACAUGGCGGCAACUGAGGCAGCCAAGGAAUUAUUGUGGUUGAAAGGGCUUGUCAGGGAACUUGGAAUCAAGCAAGAUGGAAUGAAGCUGUACUGUGAUAGUCGGAGUGCCAUCUUCCUAUCUAAGAAUCAGAUUUAUCAUGCAAGAACCAAACACAUUGACGUGAGAUUUCAUAAAAUAAGAGAGUUGGUUACUUCAGAAGAGCUGUUGUUAGAGAAGGUGCAUACCUCAGAAAAUGCAGCAGACAUGAUGACAAAGCCAAUCACAAUGGAUAAGUUCAAGCACUGCUUGAACUUGAUUAAUAUCUCUAGCUGUUAGAGAUGUGUCCUAACCCAUUGGUCCUAGAUGGUGUGAUUUUUUUCAGGUUAUGUUUUUUUCCCUAAGGGGGUGAAUAUUCGCCAAGGUGGAGAUUGUUGUACAUGUGGCUUCGACCUUGCGCGGAUUUAAUUCACUGUCUGGUUGUACGGUAUAGGGGUAUUUUCUGUACGGGCCUUAAAGUUUUAUAUGGGCCCAAGCUAGGGUUAGUAUAAAUAAUACGUUGUAACCCUAUUUUUCAGAACUGAAUAAAGAAAUCUUCGUUUCGCUCUCGUGGACGUAGGCACGUCGACGAACCACGUAAAAUUCUUGUAUUCAUUUUCGUUUUCAUCUCUUUAAUAUUGCGUAUAAAAUCCAAUAAUUUUUAUAAGAGUGCUUGUGUUCUAAAUGCAAUAAACCAUUUAACAUUAAAUUUUUAAGCUAUAAUUAAGUAUCCAAGUCUGGAAUUAGAGUCAAUUUUGAUUGCUUCAAAAUAACCUAGUCCAUAGUUUCAUAAGAUCAAUAUAUAUUAUUAAACGUAUACAUUAAAUACCUUGGUAACGAAGUUCCUUCAUCAACCAAAAGCUCCAUAGCAAGCUUAAUGGAAUAAAAAACUAGAGCAUUCUGAUUGAUGGCCUUCCUAAGCCACGUGCCACCAAUACCUGUGUAACCAUCGAGAAGCACUAAGUUAAAAGCUCCGCAUCCAUUUUUCGCCAUGAGUUUCUUAAUAACGUCCUUACACUUGGGGACCCUAAUACUCUCCCGCAUGGAUAAUGCACCGUCGAUGGGUUGAAUCGAGUCACAAUAGACUCCAAUUACUAGAAUGCCCAUCAUCAUCGUCUCGAUAGCCACUUGCAUCCAGCCCCCAGGUGCAGCGCAGAGAUCAAGGACAAAUUAUUGGAGCAAAAAAUUUCGAACAAGUAAUCAAGCUAAACUAGCUUCCUGUGGCUAUAGACCUGUAAUCAUUCUCUUUCCCUAAUUGGUAAAUGCUUUUCAUCAUCUUUCCCCAUCACUAUUGGGUUUUAGAGAAGGAGAAGAAAGGUUGAGAUUUGGACUUCAGAGUUAGCUCUUGUUUAAUUCCCAUUUUGAGAGAAAGAAUGCAUUUUUAAAUAGUGUUUGAAGAAAAAUGUGUGGUUAAAAAUUAAGGAAAAAUUUUGGAUUUGUAUGUAAUAUUAUUUUACUAAAGAAUGUGUGGUUGAAAAUGAGUUUUGGAAAAAUAAAUUUUUAGAAGAAUGGUGUUCAAACAAGGGCUUAAGUAAUAUUUCUUUAGAUUAAGUUAUAAGGAAAAUUGCAGUAGCGAUCCCUAACCUUUUCAAUUUUUUCAAACUUUACCCUAACCUUCAAUUUGUACCAGCUAAGAUCCCUAACCUUUCAGAAAUAUGCACCUGAGAUCCAAAUGGAUGGAAACUGUCCAUUUGACCAUUAGUUGACAAAUAAAAUGAUUUUGCCACAUUAUUAAUUAUUUCUAUAAGGGUACCUUUCUCUCUUUCCAUAUAAAAAAAUUACAAUAAUUAAAUGAAAAAUAAAAAUCAUCAUCUUCCACAACUACCCCAUCCCCAUCUAAACCCCUACCCUUAUCCUUGCCUCAAAACCCAACCCUAGCUACCCAUCAUUGUCCUAAUCUGCCCACCGCCAUCAAUUCACAACCUCCACCACGUCUGCUACGCUCUUAUUCGUUGCCAAUUGAACCCAAAUGAGAAAUCAAAAUCGAUGCCACCACCACUUCGCCUCAAAAUUGAUGCCAUCACCACCUCUGAUUGCAAUGGUGAGCUACUCCUAUCUAUAUAUGAAAUUAAAUCAAGUUUUGACCAUCCAACAUUCUCAAGUUCAAUUUACGACUGCCAUUCCUCUACAAAUGUCAAGACAUUUCUUCUCUAAUUCUCAAAUUUCCUUAGAAUUUUGUGCGGCAGCACCAGAGCUUGGAGAAACUGCAACAACAUGAGCGCUUCUCAAACGGAGACUAUUUCAUGGUUUAACAACCAGCUUGCCAGCGAUGCUGCAGCUAAGGCCAUUGAGAAAGCUUGGACCAAGAAACAAAUUUUGCAAUUGCUGCUGCAGGAGUUGGAAUUGAGCCUAGAUUUGAAGAAUCUAGGAUGGUAUUAGGAUACUUAGCCCAGUGGCACUAUCAAUUUGGUGGAUUUCCUCUGAGUUUGUGGUAGGGGUGUCUGGUGUUUGAGGAUUGCAGGAGGAGGUGGUGGAUGUGUAGUGGUAGUGUUGGUGGUUCUUAUUUAAUUUUCAAUUUCUGCAGAUUCAUUGAUUGAGGUGGUGGCGGCUGUGAAUUUAGUGGUUGUGGCAGCAACAAACGGUGGUGGUUUUAGGCAAUGGAUUGUGGGGUGGGGUGGGGAAGGCAAUGAAUAGUUUUUUUCCUUUUAUUUUAAUUGUUUUAUAGGGUUCAAUAGCAAAGUUACCCUUUAAAUUGGUCAAAGUUCGUUAAAGUUCAAUUUUAUUGGUCAACUAACAGUCAAAUGGAUGAUUUCCAUCUAUUUGAAUGGUUUCCUCUGACAAUAACUCAUUCCACAAGCCAUAUAGCUUUGAAGUGACAUUUACCAUUUUUUGUACUUUCCAUUAAUGCCCUUUACUUUCCAUAGGCGGCUGGCACUUGUAUUUCCAAUUAGAAUCUAAGGGCAAAAUAGACAGCUUAGUUUCAACAGUAUUUUCCAAUUUGUAUCUGUUCUGACAUUUGUCUGACUUCUUAUCCUGUGUUAUCAUUCAUUAUUGUAGGGGGAAUGAGAUUUGGUCUAAAAAAAACUCAUUAAAAUGAGUACCAAAUGGCACUAGGUUUAAUAAUUCUAUAAAAUUUUAGUUUAUCAGAUAUUCUUUUGACUUUAGAUUCUUUAUUUUAGACUUGAGCCCCAUUUUAUUAUAUUAAGAAUGCAUUUUGAAAUAGUAAAUUGAUGGAGAAUGUGCGAUUGAAAAUAAUGGAGAUCAAACAAAGGUUAUAUAAAUAAGGUUUUAUUUAUGAAUAAUAUUUACAUCUCAUUAUUUUUAGUUCUUUUUGUCCUAGCUUGUGGGAUCGUGUUUCGUUGGCCUUCAUUUCAGUUUUGUGAUAAAAAUAGGUUUUUCUUUUUUGCGGUAUAAAUCUGCCUUCGUUUUUUGUCCAUUUUAGUUUCAUAUCAAAGAAAGUUAAUUUUGUUUUGUUUCUUUGUAUUUUACUGUUGGUCAUUGCUGGAAAUUGAUAUUCUUGUGUGGAUGCAUGUGAGGGAUCUUGCCUCGCUCAUAUUCGCUUCAGUUCUAUGGCACAUAGCAGGUUUAUUUUAGGUUAAAUUUAUAGAUUAAGUAUGCUGGUCCUUUUUUUUUAAUGCAUAUGUAUUAUGUCCUUCAGUUUUGACGCAGUUCCUUUAUUUUUGCCUGUCUAGGGGCUUUUUUCCACGAUUUUGUUUUAACCAUUGUACUAGAGCACAGGUAUAUCAUAUUCUAUUUUUAUUUUUAUUUUUAUUUUUUUCUAUUAGUUCAAAGACAUUUAGUAUGUUGUUGAAGAUGUUGACAUGAUUUGUGUGUUUUGUACUCAUUUUUAAGCUAAUCUUUGCACGUGCAUUGCAUGGGAUUUUUUUAAUUAUUUUUUAAUUAUUUUUUUAAGGUAAUGUUAGUGUAUUAAAUGUAUUGGAUUUUCUGUGAAUUACAUCAUGUUUCUUACAAUUAAAAAAGAAUAAAGGAGGAAAAUGAGUAACUCUAGCAUAAAAACCCUCACAAAGAGCUAAGAAAGAGAGAGCUCGUCCUCUCAGCAAACUGAACUCCCGUUUGUUUAUCAUUUUUUCAAAAAUGAGAAUAAAAAAUAUAGUCGUUAUGGGUCUCAUACAAGGGAUAGAAAUUCAAAUUCGGUGACUUGAUGUGAUGAAUAGCGAUCAUAUUUUUCAUUUUAAUGAGAAAAAAAUGGGAACAAAACAGGGGCUGAAUUAAAGAAAUUAUUUCACACGAGCGGAAAUGAAACUUUGGCAACAACAUUUUCAAAGGUAAAACAUUUUCAGAGUAGAAGAAAUGUUAUUGGAAUUUCUCAAAAAGGAAAUUAAAUCUAAGCAUUAAAUAUUGACAUAAAAGUUAUUAAGAAACUAACCCGAGUAAUACUUCAUCAUAAAAAAUUACAAUCUCAACACCAAAUGCUUCAAUCACACUCUUGGUUUCUACAUCAUUGCUUGAUCCUUUGUAUGUCCUCAGAUUUAGCGUUGCAAGUCUGCACCAAAUACAAUGGAAUACCCCAAAUUCACGCACUAUUUGAAAUUUCAUUUACUGUGUGCUACAUAAAAUAUAAUUUACAAAAUAAAAAAAAAUGAUAUAUUAUUCAUACUACUUACUUUUGAUACGUAGAACCAACAAAGAGUCUACCAGUGUUGGCGAGAUGAGCUAAUUGACUGGGUGAUCCUCUAUACCAAAUUAAUCGUUAGUAUCAACUUUCCUCGCGACCCCAAUGUCGUAACUGUUGCCAUGACAGUGCAAACAUUGCCAUCGAUGUUUAUUUUAUGAUGCCUAACUUAGUCAACUAAUUAUUGAAUACACUCAACAACAGGAUGUACCAAAUUACCAUUUUCAUUUCCCAAAAUGGAAUGAUUCUUUCACUUCCUGUUAAAUCAAAGAAAUCUAAAUGUAAACCACAAAAUUUAUGAAAGAUCACAAUAAAAUUGCAACACAAAUAUGACUCAUAUACUGGACUCUAGCUGCAUCUUUUACAAUUUUACCUGUUUCUUAAAACCCAAGCCGAACUUGAUUGAGUGACCCAAAUAAUCCAACAACCCCUUCAAACCCUAGCCCAACACACCACUUUAAUUUGAUAUGCUCAUUAUGUACAAAUAAUCUAACAGGAACUGUCACUCUUUUGGUUUUCAUUCUGAUCACAUCUCUGUCAUCCCCCAAGAACAUAAAGUCCAUCUUUGAGCCAUAUUCCAAGAAAAAAUGCAUUAUUCAUGUCAAAUCAAUGGAAAAUGUGUGAUUAAAAAAUAAGGAAAUGUUUUAGAUUUGCAUGUAAUAUUAUUUUAUUGAAAAAUGUGUGGUUGAAAUGAUGUCAAAUAAUUGUUGAAGAAUGUAUUUUUUUAAAAAUAAUGUGGCUCAAACAAGUCCAAAAUUAGGAAAACCCAACACUUCUGAAAAGCAGAUUCAUCAGAUUUAAUUUUUAUCUCAUUUCUAAAAUGUCACUUGAUUCACCAUUUCAAGAGCUUACCAUCCUAAACAAUCGGGAUCUUUGUGGUGUCAGACUCUCAACAUACAGGGUAAGUUUGCAAUGAAAGGGAACUCCAAUAGAUUUAACGUUCAAGGCCAUGGUAAAGCAAACAUUAUAAACAUUGGUAACCUAGCUAGUAGCAAAGAACACCUGUCUUUUAAUAUUCCUAACAAAAAUACUUGAAUUUUAAAAGUAAACAAACCAAUCCUUCCCAUAUAACACUGGGAGAAGUUUAAAAAAAUAAAGCCCACUAAAAUUCAAGCAGAAUGCCAUAACGAUUGUACCAAAUGUACUCUAUCCACCCAAAAUAUGGUAAAAACAAGUAACUUGAGUACCCCAAUAAGCAUUGUCAUUCUAGUUAAUUAAUCUUUGCCCUCGAGAAGUCUAUUCCAGGUGCUGCAAAUUUACAUAGGUAAAAUCAGUAUCCGCAUAAUCGAACAUGGAAUGCCUAUAAAAUGCAAAGGCAACAAGAAAAGAACUGGGAAUAAGGGUCAUUCACUGUAAAAGUAUUUGUUAUUGAAAUUGAAGUAACGUUACUACAACUCUUCAUUAGUUUAUAACAAAUACUUUGUCCUUUUUAUUGAAACUUAUUUUCAUAUACAAAUAAUUAUAUUGGACAUUUAUCUACCUGUAUCCAGACAAAUUUAUAAGAGAGCCGACAAAAAAUCACUCUCACAACUAAAAAUCAACUUUUCACUUGCGGAUAAUUACCGAUUGGUAAAAGUAUUAGACUUUUAAUUUCGAAAAUCACGAAAGAAAUUUCCGUUGGUAAUUGUGGUAGUUUUUUAUCAAUGGAUAUUCCAUGCCUACUGUUGUUAAGUACACUUACUAUUUACCAACAGCAUUUUCGUGGAUGAUGUCAUUCAACUAUUUUUUCUAAAAACUAUGUCAACCUUCCAUCUAUGAAUUUUUUGUGGGUGAAGAGAAAUUUAUAUUACCAACAUAAUUGUUAUUGUUAAUAUUAAUCAAUUUUAAUAAUUAAAAAAUUCAAACACCCUCCUACGAAAUAUCUGUAGGUAUAGGGUAAUUAAUUUUUUUAAAAAGAGAAAAUUCAACCUCUUCACCAGCAAAAAUUUCAUAGGUGAAGAAUAAUUCAUAUUACCUACUAAAAAUCUGUUGAUGAUAUUAAUUAAUUCUAAUAUUUAAAAAAAUCAAUUAUUCACCUACUAAAUAUACAUAGUUGAGGGGUACUAAAAUAUAAAUAAUUAUUUAUACAAUAGUUUUUUUUUUUUUAUAUGACCAUUGGUGUCCGGACCAACUUACGCGUACCUCGCCUAAUCCCACGGGCCUUGAAAUUUACAACCGAAUACUCACCUCAGUCGCCUUAAGAGGACUCGAACUGAUAACCAUUGGGAAGCAAACCCAAAACCGACUAUUGAGUUACAAUAGUAUAAUACACUACAGCCAAAUUAAAGGUACAAUACACUAUAGUCCAACUAAAGGAAUUUUUAUCCCACACUGAAAGUUCAUAACAAAAUCUUUGGAAGUGCCCUCUAUAAAUUAGUGGUGCAAUAAUUGAUUAAACAACUUUUUGGACCUUUCAAUUUAGUUGGCUAAAAGUUAAAAAAUUCAUAAUUAUUAAACAAUAAUAACAAUAAUAAAAAUUUAUACCACGCUUCGCACCUAUGUGACUAUUUAUGACACUGAUUUUUACUUAUUGUAAUAGUAGAUGUUUGCCAAUGGAAAGUCGGUAGGUAAUGAUUAAGAUUUUUACCAGUUAAAAUUUUCAUUGGUAAAAGGUUCACACUUAACCAAAACCCUCAAAUUAACAAUGAAUUUUUGGCUACUAAUAUCCCGUUAGUAAAGAGUAAUAGCAACGGAUAUCGUGGUUUAGAAACAAAAAAAUCGUGCUUGAGCCCCUUUUUUGGAGUGUCCCUUUCUUUUGAUGGAACGCAAAUUUGAGGUUCUGUAGAGAUUUGAUCAAUGAGAUAGGUCAUUGGUCGAUGGAUUUNUGGUAGAGAGCAUUGGAGAGCUGUAAAGUGGAUUUUUAGGUACUUGAAAGGUACAAUGGAGUGCGGGAUCAUGUUUGAGAGACGACAUGGUGAUAUUUCAGUUCAAGGAUAUGUAGAUGCAGAUUAUGCAGGGGAUUUGGAUGACAGAAGGUCCCAUACAGGUUAUAUUUUCACACUCGCAGGUGGGCCCAUAUGUUGGAGGUCAAUGGUGCAAUCACUUGUGGCAUUAUCUACAACUGAAGCAGAGUACAUGGCGGCAACUGAGGCAGCCAAGGAAUUAUUGUGGUUGAAAGGGCUUGUCAGGGAACUUGGAAUCAAGUAAGAAGGAAUGAAGCUGUACUGUGAUAGUAGGAGUGCCAUCUUCCUAUCUAAGAAUCAGAUUUAUCAUGCAAGAACCAAACACAUUGACGUGAGAUUUCAUAAGAUAAGAGAGUUGGUUACUUCAGAAGAGCUGUUGUUAGAGAAGGUGCAUACCUCAGAAAAUGCAGCAGACAUGAUGACAAAGCCAAUCACAAUGGAUAAGUUCAAGCACUGCUUGAACUUGAUUAACAUCUCUAGCUGUUAGAGAUGUGUCCUAACCCAUUGGUCCUAGAUGGUGUGAUAUUUUUCAGGUUAUGUUUUUUUCCCUAAGGGAGUGAAUAUUCGCCAAGGUGGAGAUUGUUGUACAUGUGGCUUCGACCUUGCGCGGAUUUAAUUCACUGUCUGGUUGUACGGUACAGGGGUAUUUUCUGUACGGGCCUUAAAGUUUUAUAUGGGCCCAGGCUAGGGUUAGUAUAAAUAAUACGUUGUAACCCUAUUUUUCAGAACUGAAUAAAGAAAUCUUCGCUUCGCUCUCGUGGACGUAGGCACAUCGCCGAACUACGUAAAAUUCUUGUGUUGAUUUUCGUUUUCAUCUCUUUAAUAUUGCGUAUAAAAUCCAACAAUUUUUAUAAGAGUGCUUGUGUUCUAAAUGCAAUAAACCAUUUAACAUUAAAUUUUUAAGCUAUAAUUAAGUAUCCAAGUCUGGAAUUAGAGUCAAUUUUGAUUGCUUCAAAAUAACCUAGUCCAUAGUUUCAUAAGAUCAAUAUAUAUUAUUAAACGUAUACAUUAAAUACCUUGGUAACGAAGUUCCUUCAUGAACCAAAAGCUCCAUAGCAAGCUUAAUGGAAUCAAAAACUAGAGCAUUCUGAUUGAUGGCCUCCCUAAGCCACGUGCCACCAAUACCCGUGUAACCAUCGAGAAGCACUAAGUUAAAAGCUCCGCAUCCAUUUUUCGCCAUGAGUUUCUUAAUAACGUCCUUACACUUGGGGACCUUAAUACUCUCCCGCAUGGAUAAUGCACCGUCGAUGGGUUGAAUCGAGUCACAAUAGACUCCAAUUACUAGAAUGCCCACAUCAUCGUCUCGAUAGCCACUUGCAUCUAGCCCCCAGUUGUAGCGUAGAGAUCAAGGACAAAUUAUUGGAGCAAAAAAUUUCGAACAAGUAAUCAAGCUAAACUAGCUUCCUGUGGCUAUAGACCUGUAAUCAUUCUCUUUCCCUAAUUGGUAUUUCUCAUCAAUGCUUUUCAUCAUCUUUGCCCAUCACUAUUGGGUUUUAGAGAAGGAGAAGAAAGGUUGAGAUUUGGACUUCAGAGUUAGCUCUUGUUUAAUUCCCAUUUUGAGAGAAAGAAUGCAUUUUUAAAUAGUGUUUGAAGGAAAAUGUGUGGUUAAAAAUUAAGAAAAAUUUUUGGAUUUGUAUGUAAUAUUAUUUUACUAAAGAAUGUGUGGUUGAAAAUGAAUUUUGGAAAAAUAAAUUUUUAGAAGAAUGGUGUUCAAACAAGGGCUUAAGUAAUAUUUCUUUAGAUUAAGUUAUAAGGAAAAUUGCAGUAGCGAUCCCUAACCUUUUCAAUUUUUUCAAACUUUACCCUAACCUUCAAUUUAUACCAGCUAAGAUCCCUAACCUUUCAGAAAUAUGCACCUGAGAUCCAAAUGCAUGGAAACUGUCCAUUUGAUCAUUAGUUGACAAAUAAAAUGAUUUUGCCACAUUAUUAAUUAUUUCUAUAAGGGUACCUUUCUCUCUUUCCAUAUAAAAAAAUUACAAUAAUUAAAUGAAAAAUAAAAAUCAUCAUCUUCCACAACUACCCCAUCCCCAUCCAAACCCCUACCCUUAUCCUUGCCUCAAAACCCAACCCUAGCUACCCAUCACUGUCCUAAUAUGCCCUCCGCCAUCAACUCACAACCUCCACCACGUCUGCUACGCUCUUAUUCGUUGCCAAUUGAACCCAAAUGAGAAAUCAAAAUCGAUGCCACCACCACUUCGCCUCAAAAUUGAUGCCAUCACCACCUCUGAUUGCAAUGCCGAGCUACUCCUAUCUAUAUAUGAAAUUAAAUCAAUGGCACAUAGCAGGUUUGUUUUAGGUUAAAUUUAUAGAUUAAGUAUGCUGGUCCUUUUUUUUAAUGCAUAUGUAUGAUGUCUUUCAGUUUUGACGCAGUUCUUUUUCCUUUUUUUGCCUGUCUAGGGGCCUUUUUCCUCGAUUUUGUUUUAACCAUUGUACUAGAGCACAGGUAAAUCAUAUUCUUUUUUUGUUUUUUGUUCUAUUAGUUCAAAAACAUUUAGCAUGUUGUUGAAGAUGUUGGCAUGAUUUGUGUGUUUUGUACUCAUUUUUUAAGCUAGUCUUUGCACGUGCAUUGCACGGGAUUUAUUUUUUUAAGGUAAUGUUAGUGUCUUAAAUGUAUUGGAUUUUCUGUGAAUUACAUCAUGUUUCUUACAAUUAAAAAAGAAUAAAGGGGGAAAAUGAGUAACUCUAGCAUAAAACCCUCACAAAGAGCUAAGAAAGAAAGAGCUCGUCCUCUCAGCAAACUGAAUUAAAGAAAUUAUUUCACACAUGAGCGGAAAUGAAACUUUGUCAACAACAUUUUCAAAGGUAAAGCAUUUUCAGAAUAGAAGAAAUGUUAUUGGAAUUUCUCAACAAGGAAAGUAAAUCUAAGCAUUAAAUAUUGACAUAAAAGUUAUUAAGAAACUAACCCGAGUAAUACUUCAUCAUAAAAAAUUACAAUCUCAACGCCAAAUGUUUCAAUUGCACUCUUAAUUUCUACAUCAUUGCUUGAUCCUUUGUAUGUCCUCAGAUUUAGCGUUGCAAGCCUGCACCAAAUACAAUGGAAUACCCCAAAUUCACGCAGUAUUUGAAAUUUCAUUUACUGUGGGAUACAUAAAAUAUAAUUUACAAAAAAAUAAUAAUAAUAAAAAUUGAUAUAUUAUUCAUACAACUUACUUUUGAUACGUAGAACCAACAAUAGUCCAGCAGUGUCAGCGAGAUGAGCUAAUUGACUGGGUGAUCCUCUAUACCAAAUGAAUUGUUAGUAUCAACUUUCCUCGCAGCCCCAGCGUUGUAACUGUUGCCAUGACAGUGCAAACAUUGCCAUCAACGUUUAUUUUAUGAUGCUAACUUAGUUAACUAAUUAUUGAAUACACUCAACAGCAGGAUGUACCAAAUUACCAUUUGCAGUCCCCCAAAAUGAAAAGACUCUUUCACUUCUUGUUAAAUUAAAGAAAUAUAAAUGUAAAUUACAAAAUCUGUCAAAGAUCAUAAUGACUCUCACUUCCUGUUAUAUCAAAGAAAUCUAUAUGUAAACCACAAAAUUUAUCAAAGAUCAUAAUAAAAUUGCACCACAAAAAUGAUUUAUAUACUGGACUCUGGCUGCAUCUUUUAUAAUUUUAUCUAUUUUUUAAAACCCAAGCCAAACACGAUUGAGUGACCCAAAUAAUCCAACAGGCCCUUCAAACCCUAGCCCAACACAUCACUUUAAUUUGAUAUGCUCAUUAUGUACAAAUAAUCUAACGGAACUAUGUCACUCUUUUGGUUUUCAUUCUGAUCACAUCUUUGUCAUCCCCCAAGAAGAACAUAAAAUUAGGAAAACCCAACACUUCUGAAAAGCAGAUUCAUCAGAUUUAAUUUUUACCUCAUUUCUAAAAUGUCACUUGAUUCACCAUUUCAGGAGCUUACCAUCCUAAACAAUCGGGAUCUUUGUGGUGUCAGACUAUCAACAUACAGGGUAAGUUUGCAAUGAAAGGGAACUCCAAUAGAUUUAACGUUCAAGGCCAUGGUAAAGCAAACAUUAUAAACAUUGGUAACCUAGCUAGUAGCAAAGAACACCUGUCUUUUAAUAUUCCUAACAAAAAUACUUGAAUUUUAAAAGUAAACAAACCAAUCCUUCCCAUAUAACACUGGGAGAAGUUUAAAAAAAUAAAGCCCACUAAAAUUCAAGUAGAAUGCCAUAACGAUUGUACCAAAUGUACUCUAUCCAGCCAAAAUAUGGUAAAAACAAGUAACUUGAGUACCCCAAUAAGCAUUGUCAUUCUAGUUAAUUAAUCUUUGCCCUCGAGAAGUCUAUUCCAGGUGCUGCAAAUUUACAUAGGUAAAAUCAGUAUCCGCAUAAUCGAACAUGGAAUGCCUAUAAAAUGCAAAGGCAACAAGAAAAGAACUGGGAAUAAGGGUCAUUCACUGUAAAAGUAUUUGUUAUUGAAAUUGAAGUAACGUUUCUACAACUCUUCAUCAGUUUAUAAUAAAUACUUUGUCCUUUUUAUUGAAACUUAUUUUCAUAUACAAAUAAUUAUAUUGGACAUUUAUCUACCUGUAUCCAGACAAAUUUAUAAGAGAGCCGACAAAAAAUCACUCCCACAACUAAAAAUCAACUUUUCACUUACGGAUAAUUACCGAUUGGUAAAAGUAUUAGACUUUUAAUUUCGAAAACCACGAAAGAAAUUUCCGUUGGUAAUAGUGGUAGUUUUUUAUCAAUGGAUAUUCCAUGCCUAUUGUUGUUAAGUACACUUACUAUUUACCACUAGCAUUUUCGUGGAUGAUGUCAUUCAACUAUUUUUUCUAAAAACUAUGUCAACCUUCCAUCUAUGAAUUUUUCGUGGGUGAAGAGAAAUUUAUAUUACCAACAUAAUUGUUAUUGUUAAUAUUAAUCAAUUUUAAUAAUUAAAAAAUUCAAACACUCUCCUACGAAAUAUCUGUAGGUAUAGGGUAAUUAAUUUUUUUAAAAAGAGAAAAUUCAACCUCUUCACCAGCAAAAAUUUCGUAGGUGAAGAAUAAUUCAUAUUACCUACUAAAAAUCCGUUGAUGAUAUUAAUUAAUUCUAAUAAUUUAAAAAAAAAAUCAAUUAUUCACCUACUAAAUAUACAUAGUUGAGGGGUAAUAAAAUAUAAAUAAUUAUUUAUACAAUAGUUUUUUUGUUUUUUUUUUAUAUGACCAUUGGUGUCCGGACCAACUUACACGUACCUCGACUAAUCCCACGGGCCCUGAAGUUUACAACCGAAUACUCACCUCAGUCGUCUUAAGGGGACUCGAACUGAUAAUCAUUGGGAAGCAAACCCAAAGCCGACUAUUGAGUUACAAUAGUAUAAUACACUACAGCCAAAUUAAAGGUACAAUACACUAUAGUCCAACUAAAGGAGUUUUUAUCCCACACUGAAAGUUCAUAACAAAAUCUUUGGAAGUGCCCUCUAUAAAUUAGUGGUGCAAUAAUUGAUUAAACAACUUUUUGGACAUUUCAAUUCAGUUGGCUAGAAGUUAAAAAAUUCAUAAUUAUUAAACAAUAAUAACAAUAAUAAAAAUUUAUACCACGCUUUGCACCUAUGUGACUAUUUAUGACACUGAUUUUUACUUAUUAUAAUAGUAGACGUUUGCCAAUGGAAAGUCGGUAGGUAAUGAUUAAGAUUUUUACCAGUUAAAAUUUUCAUUGGUAAAAGGUUCACACUUGACCAAAACCCUCAAAUUAACAAUGAAUUUUUGGCUACUAAUAUCCCGUUAGUAAAGAGUAAUAGCAACGGAUAUCGUGGUUUAGAAACAAAAAAAUUGUGCUUGAGCCCCUUUUUUGUAGUGUCCCUUUCUUUUGAUGGAACGCAAAUUUGAGGUUCUGUAGAGAUUUGAUCAAUGAGAUAGGUCAUUGGUCGAUGGAUUUGGCCGAGAAAAAAAUUAAAAUGGAAUUUGAAAAUUGAAUAGAAUAAAUUACGAAAAGAAGAUUACAUACCUUAAGUCCUUGUUCUGAGUUGUACUCGUCGCAUUUCAACUUCUUCAGCCACAGCUAACUUUCUUCUCGCUUAUUAGAGUAACUGAGUCAUGAGAAAUUGUUAAUUGUAGUGUAAAUUUAACAUGAAUAUUAUAUUUUAUAAUUUCAUUUAAGAGUAACAAAUUUCAUAUUGUUAGUAGAAAGUGAUCUAUUUAUUAAAAAGCACAUUUGGCAGUAGCCAUUUGAUAAUAUUUCCCAUUUUUAAACACGUAUGAAGCAGCCUGCAUAUAGCAAGCCCUAGUUUCACGGGGUGCCUUUCUUCUUGGCACAGAAAGGGACACCGUGCGGCAGUAGUCUGCCUUCCGCCUUUUCUCGGUCGCGUCGGGACGAAAGAAAAUUUGAUUGCAAUUUUGUAGAAAGCUUACAAUUGAGAAUUUGAAUACAUUGAAAGUAAAUUGAACAUUGAUUGCUGAAAACUGAACAUUACAAUUGAUGAAAGCAGAAAAUUACAAAUGCUGGUGCAGGGGGCGGACACCAGUGAGUUUGAAAGAUUUUUGAAUGACUAAUACCCCCUAUAAUAGCAUUCUGAACAAAAACCCAAGUGACGGGAGUAGACGUUUAAAAGACGAGGAAUCAUACUAAUCUUUUACCAAUAUCAGAGCUAUUUUACAAUUAAAAUAACUAUUACAAUGGUAAUCAGAGUUUUGGAUAGAAAAAAUAAUGAAGUCAUCUAUUUUUCCUAACAUACAUGCCAUUGGAAAUAGCAUUCUCAAAGCUAUCAAAAUUCACAGCAUGUGUGUUUAGACGAAUCAUAUUGUAAGUUUGCUUGAAAGGGAAUUUGGGACAUGACUCCAGUGAAGAGGCUUUAUUUAUUUUAUUUUUUUAUUUUUUUGCACUAUUUUUCCAGCAAAACCAUUCAUGUAUUGCUCUGGGCAAAUCAUUUUCUGACACGUGAAAAUUUAUCCUUCGAAAACAAACAAUAAUGCAAGAUGAAGACAGCAACAUAACAGUUCUUUCAACUAAUUGUUUAACACAUGUAAGUAUGUUAAUUUCGAGGAGCUGGACUAGAUUUACCUCUAUGUUUGAGCUGAUUGGGCAAGCGUUAAAUCCGACGGUAACAAAGUUCCAGAACGAUCAACAUCAAGGCUUUCACCCUUGUGUUUAAGAUGUUAAGGUUCUUGCUUUCAAAAGUUUCGAAAGAAAAAGAAAAACCACUGUUAGACAUCAUGUUAUCAAACGACCUCCCGGGCGAUGAUGAAAACCAAUUUUAUCAGUCGACAUGAAUGACUGAACGAUGUCGUCUUAAGGGGACUCGAACUGAUAAUCAUUGGGAAGCAAACCCAAAGCCGACUAUUGAGUUACAAUAGUAUAAUACACUACAGCCAAAUUAAAGGUACAAUACACUAUAGUCCAACUAAAGGAAUUUUUAUCCCACACUGAAAGUUCAUAACAAAAUCUUUGGAAGUGCCCUCUAUAAAUUAGUGGUGCAAUAAUUGAUUAAACAACUUUUUGGACAUUUCAAUUCAGUUGGCUAGAAGUUAAAAAAUUCAUAAUUAUUAAACAAUAAUAACAAUAAUAAAAAUUUAUACCACGCUUUGCACCUAUGUGACUAUUUAUGACACUGAUUUUUACUUAUUAUAAUAGUAGACGUUUGCCAAUGGAAAGUCGGUAGGUAAUGAUUAAGAUUUUUACCAGUUAAAAUUUUCAUUGGUAAAAGGUUCACACUUGACCAAAACCCUCAAAUUAACAAUGAAUUUUUGGCUACUAAUAUCCCGUUAGUAAAGAGUAAUAGCAACGGAUAUCGUGGUUUAGAAACAAAAAAAUCGUGCUUGAGCCCCUUUUUUGGAGUGUCCCUUUCUUUUGAUGGAACGCAAAUUUGAGGUUCUGUAGAGAUUUGAUCAAUGAGAUAGGUCAUUGGUCGAUGGAUUUGGCCGAGAAAAAAAUUAAAAUGGAAUUUGAAAAUUGAAUAGAAUAAAUUACGAAAAGAAGAUUACAUACCUUAAGUCCUUGUUCUGAGUUGUACUCGUCGCAUUUCAACUUCUUCAGCCACAGCUAACUUUCUUCUCGCUUAUUAGAGUAACUGAGUCAUGAGAAAUUGUUAAUUGUAGGGUAAAUUUAACAUGAAUAUUAUAUUUUAUAAUUUCAUUUAAGAGUAACAAAUUUCAUAUUGUUAGUAGAAAGUGAUCUAUUUAUUAAAAAGCACAUUUGGCAGUAGCCAUUUGAUAAUAUUUCCCAUUUUUAAACACGUAUGAAGCAGCCUGCAUAUAGCAAGCCCUAGUUUCACGGGGUGCCUUUCUUCUUGGCACAGAAAGGGACACCGUGCGGCAGUAGUCUGCCUUCCGCCUUUUCUCGGUCGCGUCGGGACGAAAGAAAAUUUGAUUGCAAUUUUGUAGAAAGCUUACAAUUGAGAAUUUGAAUACAUUGAAAGUAAAUUGAACAUUGAUUGCUGAAAACUGAACAUUACAAUUGAUGAAAGCAGAAAAUUACAAAUGCUGGUGCAGGGGGCGGACACCAGUGAGUUUGAAAGAUUUUUGAAUGACUAAUACCCCCUAUAAUAGCAUUCUGAACAAAAACCCAAGUGACGGGAGUAGACGUUUAAAAGACGAGGAAUCAUACUACAGCCUACUUACCAUAUUGUGACUUACCUUAAGUUGGCCAUUGAACUAAUAUAUAUAUUGGUAAUUGACUUCAUCUCCUUUGUGCCGUGUGUGAGAGAACCCGAGAGAGAGAGGCAUUAUUCUUCUUCUUCUCCUUCUCCUUCAUGCAUCCUGCCAAUUUAUCUUCCCUACCAAUUGCUUGAGGCUUUGUGACUCUUACCUGUGUGGUAUCCAUCCUAAGUGUGUGGUAGAAUCAACAAGCAAAAGAGCAAAUAGCAACCAUAGGAAGAAUUGGCGCCGGCGGUCGGUCAUCUCGUUUUUGGUGUUGAAUUCGAUGUUUAAUGGUUAACUGAGUUCGGAAAUCACUUUGAGCAGCUUGAGGAAGAUCCUAACAUCCACUCUUUUAAUCACUCUUAUGCUAUUCGUUUUAACCCCUUUAUGUUUAGAAGUAUUUCUUUCAAGCAGGGGAACCACAUCACAUUGCGGGUAGUUGGAAGGAAAAACAAUUAAAAAAAAAAUACAAUGCUCAAUCUCAAAAGAGUAGAAAAAAUUCCAUCCAAAUCUCAAUGCUAGUGACAUGCAAAUCCCAAUGUAUCCGUCUACCUUAUAAUUUAUCCAUAUUAAAAGUCAAAUGGAACAAAAACAAAUUUACCGAAGCACUUCUUCUACAAAAUUGUACGCCUCAACAAUUUCACAGAAUAGUAACACAUAAACAUGAUAAGAGGUGCAAUCCUGUCGGAAAACUUUGUUCUUGUGGGUGAUAAACAAUACACCAAAUCUCUCUCUCUCAACAUAAAUGUCUCCGGUGAAACUUUGGAAAGGAUGAGGUUCUUAGAUUGGGGAUAAUUUAUAACUGUUGAAUACCACAGUUGUGAAUUUGACUGCAGUCAAUCUAUACGCAUAGUAACCUAUUUGGCCCGAUAUGAAUUGUGAUGUGUACAGCAUUCAGUAAGACUACAGCAGAAAACAAAAUUUGAGUAUUAACAUUAACGUUCUACAAACAUUAAACGAUACCUCAACUUUAUCGAGCAUUGCUGGAUUUGCUCUCCUAGUUCUUAUGGACGUGAAAUUGGAUCUCAAAGUUUCAAUGGUCUUUUCCAUCCUUUCGGUCUGUUAAAAAAAAAAAAAAAAAAAAUUGAAAGAAUUAAAAUUAACCACAAUUGGCUUAUUGAAAACGCUACCAUGAGAAAAAUGUAAAUGCUUCAGUAAGCAAUCUGUUGCUGAUCAAUGCAAAAUAGUCCACAUGGAACUGGACAUUUAUACACGUGGCAAGCACCCAAAAAUUGAUGUAGAAGGGAUCAACAUCCGAGGUUGUUACAAGAUGCGCCAAGGUCGUUGCACUAAGUUCUUCCGAGGUGGCUUACCUUUUACUACCGAACUCCUAGAGUAUCCGAAGUCCUUGAUAACCAAAGGAGGUUCGGGCAAGCACGCCUUCAGAGUUGAUUGAUGUGAGCUUAUGUGACGCGCGUAGUUAAUGAGUGUCAGGAAUGUCAAUCUAGGUUUGUAGGCAACUGACCUCUUGUCGAAAUUCUAUCAAUGUAAUUAAUAUGCAAUAGAGUUGAUGUGACAUUAGGGCCGGCAGAUCAGGUCAUGUGGAUCAAAUCCCACGGUGACGACGUCGUCAUAAUCACUAUAAAUAAGCAAUUCUUGUAUCAAUUAAAGGGAUCUUAGAAACAUAGACGAGAAUACAAUAUACUUCCAUUAUCUACUGUUCAUCUCCUUUUACAAAUAUACUAUUAAUAGCUUACAUAUUGUGAAAUAUAUCCACGUGUACACUAUCUUCUAACGACACCUGUUGGCCAUUUUCAGAGGUCAACAGAUUGGCACCAUCUGUGGAAAGCUUGAAAUAGCUAAACCACGAAAGUCCUAUAGAUAAAGGAAAUAUGAGUUUUCAGAAAAGGCCAAGAAGGAGAACCUUUGAGAAAAAGGAAAUAUCCUUAGGCAAGAGGGGUGCGUGCAAAACAACAUUCGUACACAAAGGAUUUUGGAAAGAUAUCAUGAGUACUAGUGAAGAAGAACAUGCUCCUCGAAGAACGAGGGAACAUCCUCAAGAAGAAUAAUCCUCGCACAUUGCCCUAACGUCCCGCCACCAUUUUUAACAGCCAAGUAGACAUGGUGGCUCAUGCGGCAGGACUCGGGGAGGUUCUGGAUUGACCACUAGACUAACUAGGGAAGUAGCCACUAUGGCUGAGAAUAUGAGGAAUAUUACUCAGCAGAAUCUUGCUAUGCAUGAACUGUUGAGAAUCAUACAAGGCCAGGAAGGGCAUUCAAUCCCACGAUAUGCUCACCAGAAGAAUACUUUCCUACAAAGCAAUUACUAUAGAGGUGGAUGUGGUUCAUAGUCGAGGAACCGAAUAUCAAUAAUAUCCAAGGGAAGACAACCCUCGGGAGAGAGAAGUGGGAGUAGAUACCUUUAUAAAUUACGCUUCGGACCAAUACGCCAAAGUCCCCCUCAAUUUUCCACCAGAAUACAAUUCGGGAAAUCCGGCAAAAAGAUCGAUAAAUAUUUUUGACAGACUAAGCCCAGGACAACCUAGCAAUAAGUGUGACCAACGUCUGACGCAUAUGAAUAAGCAGCAAGAAGGGCCUCGGUUGGAAGUGCCCAAUGAUCCUAUGGGAGAAAAUGCCAACCCCCCGCUUAGGAAUAGGCGAGAAAGGAGAGCAGAACAAGCACAGCAACGAAUGGAACAAUCCCAACCGCCUGUGGAAGCCCUUGAUAUAGAAGGAGGUAAUUUCGGUGAACCACAGAGGUCUUGCGACCUCGACAAUGAUGAUGAUAACUUACCAUUUUCGCAAGAAAUCAGAAAUGCUCCAAUGCUAAACCAUUUCACACUGCCUAAGAUACCUAAGUAUGAUGGAAGAGGAGACCCUGCGAAACACCUCAACAGCUUCAAAACCCGUAUGGGACUUAGGGGUGCCACACCAGCAACGAAGUGUAGAGCCUUCCACUUAUCACUUAGCGGAGCAACUGAAGUAUGGUACAUUUGGCUGGCUGGAAGCAUAUGGAGCUAGUCGGACUUUAAUAAGGCUUUUUUUAAACAUUUCGCUACUAGCAAAGAGGGUGAAGGACCAAUACAGCAAUUGCAAGAUAUGAGACAACAGCCAGGAGAGUCACUGAAGAGAUUCCUGACUCGCUUCACUAAUGAGAUGAUCUACUGUGUACAAGUCACUGAAAGAGAAGCACUAACCACCUUAAAAAAGAAGGUUAGACAUGAAUUUUCUCUUUUGGAAGGAUAUGCAGAACAAGGACCCUGCUAGUUAUGACGCCCUGUUAGAAAUGAUACAAUGAGAGAUCAUCAAUGAAGAAUUUAAGGAUCAUCGUAAUAGGGCAAACCAAGGGCUCCCACCUCCACAAAUGUAGAGAGGAAAAGGUCCAACAUCACACCAGCAAGGUCGACCAUCCGCCUCUUUUAACCCGGGUCAGGCACUAGCGAUUGCAAAGCUCAACACCAUCCCAACUCUAGCUUAUGAAGAGGUAAAUCCUAACAUCAAGGUACACUAGGAUAGGGUACCUUAAUGACCCUCUAGGGGACAAAGAGAGAGAGGACGAGGCCCUCAACCUAGGAAUAGGAAUGAAGCCCCUCGGUAUUGCACCUAUAUUAUUUCUACAGUUAUAGUACAGCGGGAUGCUGGGACAUAGCCAGACACCCAUCCAACUAAAGGAGGAAUGAAUAUCAGGAAAACAAUCUCCCCAGAUAAGGUCGAUAAAGGAGAAAUAGCGAGAAUUGAACUUGGAAGAACAACUCCCAAGGGCGAGGUGACAAUCGUGCCAGACCUGAAAAAGGUCGUAAGCAUCGAAGGAGCCCUUCACCAAAUGCCGGAUACGAAACCAUUCGAGAAAUUGAUACCAUAUUUGGAGGGCCAUAGGUAGGUGGCGAGACAAGGAAUGCCGAAAGGAACUACGCUAAGGAAGCCAAGGACCCUCCAAUGGCCAGCUUCAUAGUCAAUAGUGGCCAAUCACUCGGUGAUAGAAAAAUUGAGCUCGUCACAUUCACCCAGGACGACGCUGUCGAGGUACAUUAUCCUUACUGCGACGCCCUAGUUGUAAGGGCGGUGGUGGCUAGAAAUGGCCUCAAAAGGAUGUUGGUGGAUAAUGAGAGUUCAGUCAAUAUAAUAUAUGGAUCCACUUAUGAAAAAAUGGAGAUAGACCAUGAGCUAACACCAGUAAAUUUCCUACUCUACGGGUUUACAGGAGACCGUAUCCUCUCCGGGGAAAAAUCACCUUGGCAACAGAGAUGGGAGUGGCGUCCCUCACAGCCCACAAUUUCAUGAAAUUUUUAGUAAUGGAUCAUCAUUCAGCAUAUCAUGGAGUGUUAGGGAGACCUUCCUUGAAAGAGCUAUGGGCAGUAACCUCCAUUCAUCAUCUCUACAUGAAAUUCCCACCGAACGGGGCAUUGCUGUUGUCCAGGACGACCAACAAAGCGUCAGGGAAUGUUAUUCUAGCUCUAUGCAAAAAGUCAAUCCAUCAAGCAUUAACAUCAAAUUAAUGGAAAUUGACGAGGUCGAAGGUCCUGCACAAGGGGAGGACGUCGACAUGGUUUAUACCCUUGAAGAAGAGGCCAUGGAAAUUCAGAAUAUCCCUGAAGAAGGGAUGGGGUUUGCAGAAGUCCCCAAGGUUGAUAACUAGACCCCCGUAUGAUUGAAGAUAAGCCUUAGACGGCUCCAAUGGAAGAACUGGAAAACUUCAAAGUAGGCUCUUCGACCUCGCCCAAAUGCUUGCAGGUCGGCAAGAGCUUCUCUCCUGCCUUGAAAUAAAAUCUGCAGAACUUUCUGUGAAGUAACUUGGAUGUGUUUGCAUGGAAACAUGAUGACAUGGUUGGGAUAGAUUUGAAGGUUAGUUGCCAUCAUUUAAAGAUCAACCCCAACGAAAGUCCCAUCGGCAGAAGAAAAGAGCCUUAAAUCCAGAAAGAUAUGAAGCCUUGAAAGACGAUGUGCAAAAGUUGAUUGCCAACCAAUUCAUUAGGGAGUCAAUUUAUUCGAAGCGGGUAUCCACCCCGGUGCUAAUCACGAAGCACAACGGGAAGUAAAGAGUGUGUGUAGAUCUCACUAAUCUGAAUCGGGCUUGUCCAAAGGACAACUUCCCACUCCCAAGAAUAGAUCCGUUGGUUGAUUCCACCAUUGGCCAUGAACUAUUGAGUUUCAUGGACGCCUACUCCAACUAUAAUCAAAUCCCUAUGAACCCUGUCGACGAAAAGCACACGUCCUUCAUUAUAGACCAAGGCCUGUACUGCUACAAGGUGGUGUUCUUCAGGCUGAAAACGCUGGAGCCACCUACCAAAGGCUUGUAAAUAAAAUGUGUGCUGACCUCCUAGGAAAAACAAUGGAGGUUUAUGUGGAUGAUAUGUUUGCGAAAAGCCUAAAAGCCGAUGACCACAUCCAACAUUUGGAGAAAAUCUUCUAGAUUCUCCGCAGGUAUAGAAUGAGAUUGAACCCCCCUCAAUCGCAUCUUUAGAGUAGCCUCAAGGAAGUUUUUAGGCUAUAUAGUGAAUCAAAGAGGCAUUGAGGCCAAUCCGGACAAGAUUAAGGCCUUGAUAGAAAUGAGGUUGCCUUAGAAACCAAAAAAUGUCCUGAGCCUCACAAGACGAGUUGCUGCUCUAAGCCACUUCGUAUCCAAAGCGACAGAUAAGUACAUCCAAUUUUUCAAAAUCCUCAAGGGAAAACCAGUUCCAAUGGACCCAGGAAUGUGAAGAGGCUCUGUAGAAGCUGAAAAAGCACCUCGACCAGACACCUCUCCUGUCGAAACCUAUAAAUGGAAAGUCAUUGCUGCUGUUCUAGCUGUAACUACGAAAGCAGUCAAUUUGGUGUUAUUAAGAAAAGAAAGGGAUCGACAGCUAUGUCUAUUACAUAAGCAAGGCGUUUCUAGUAGCUGAGACACAUUAUCCGAAUAUGGAAAAACUUGCUUUAGCACUAAUCACCGCUUCUUGAAAUCUGAGGCCCUACUUUUAAGGGCACACUGUCAAAGUGCUAACCAACUUCUCUCUCAAACAGCUGCUUCAAAAAAUGGAUGCUUCCGGAAGGCUGUUAAAGUGGGCUAUCGGGUUAAGUGAAUUUGACAUAAUCUUCAAGCCAAGGACAACAAUCAAGGGUCAGGCAUUGGCAAAUUUUGUGGUCGAAUUUACCCCUCUUCUCGAAAUGGAAUUAGAAAUGGAGCCAGUCGACCCCCUGCUUGAAUUUGUUCGUUGAUAGCUCCUCCGUAGAAAUUGGGUCUGGAGUAGGCAUUGUCCCAAUCAGUCCAGAAGGAUAAAAGCUCAAUUGUGUCGUAAGGUUUGGAUUCAAAGCGACCCACAACUUCGUCCAAUAUGAAGUUUUCCUUGCUAACCUUAGCUAGGGAAAUGCAAGUCAAGAGGCUCCACAACAAUUGUGAUUCCCAACUGGUAGUUACUCAAGUUAAUGGCAACUUCACCACCAAUGACAAGAGCAUGGCUGCAUAUCUCAAACACGUCAUCGAGUUCAUCCCCACUUUUGAAAAAUUUGAGUUAGUACAAAUCCCCUGAAGUGAAAACUCCCAUGCCAACGCUCUUUCAAAGUUGGCUAGCAGUAAUGACUCCGAACUACUCUCUGUUGUCCUAAUUGAACACUUGUCGAAGCCUUCAAUUUCAAAGGAACAAAAUGUGAUGUAAGUAGAAGAUACCCCUACAUAGAUGGCCCUAGUUAUGGCCUUUUUACAAGAUUAGCUCCUGCCCUGUGACAAAGAGGAGGCCUGAAGACUGAGAAGGCAGGUUGCACACUUUAUUCUUCAAGAUGGCGUACUUUACAAAUGAAGUUUCUCCUUACCCCUACUUCGUGUAUAGGUGGAGAACAAGCCACUUAUGUUCUGAGAGAAAUACAUGAAGGAGUGUACAACAAUUACUCUGUAGGAGGGCUUUGGUCCAAAAAGUUUUGAGACAAGGAUACCAGUGGCCGACCUUGAAAAAGGACGCCCAACAAUUUGCAAAGAGGUGUGAUAAAUGCCAACGUUUCACAACUGUCAAACAAUUUGCAAAGAAGUGUGAACCACAUGAUAUCAUUCAGAUAUGCAACUAUUGAAGAAAUUGAAACUCAAAAGUCUUUGAUUGAGGAGGAUGCUGUAAGUUUAAGAGCUUUAUUUGCACUAGAUUGCUUACUAAAGCAUUUACAUUUUCCUCAUGGGAGCUUUUACAAUAAGCCAACUAAUUCCUUUGAUUUUAGUUUUUAUAGAAAGGAAGGAUGGUGAAAUGGAGAAGAAAAGAUACCUCCUUGUCCACCUGUUGACCUUUGGGUUCUUACUGUUCUGAUCGGCGUAUAUGACCUGAAAAUGAAGGGUGGGGCAUUGUCGCCCGUUUUACCUCGAGCGUGAGAAUUAGUGUAUACGUUAGGAGAAAUUUAGAUGGAAUUUAGAUGGCUAGAAAAUGUCAGUCCCCAUACCUGUGUCGCCUUUGGGGGUAUUUAUAGGUGCUGGAAGUCAGGUGAGUGACGAGCGAUCAUGGUGCCAAGUGUUCAACGUUGGCUUUCCCACUAUAUCAUGUUUUGGGUGGGGGGGUCUCUAACUUCCCGCCUGGAGGUUAUGCCCAUAAUAACCGCCCGUAAUAAUUGCCAUGGAGCUUUGUCAAUUUACCUGAGAUUUUUUGAAUAAGUGUUGGGGUGGCCACAUAGGUAACUCCCGGGGUCGAUGAUCUUGCGUAGAGUAACAGCGCCCCCGGGGGUCGAUGGCCUUGCAUUGACGUAUAGUGACCCGCCUCAUUCAUCAUUGGGAGUGGUUCUCUAGGCUAGCUUAUAUCAUUAGGCCCUUGUCCUUUGUUGAUAUUUUUCGGCAAGGGGUAGCAAUUUUCCUUUUCUGGUUCUAUUUUUUUAUACGUAUCAUUCGCCUAAGUAAGUCGAGCAGGACAAUUUAAAGUUGGUCACCUAUUUCACUGUACACUUGGCACCCACCCAAUGGGUCCUAACUUAGAGGGAAUUUUCCCCCCAAAAAAAUCGAAUUUUCUUACUUAUAAAAAGGGGGUGGUCCCUCACAUGUGAAUCAUUUUCACCUCCUCCCAAUAUCUUAGUCUUCUCUCUCUUCCAAGGUAACUUUCUCCUUUUUCUUCUUCAUUUUUUUGUAAAAUCAUGGACCAAACUAUCAUUUCUUCCUCUUUCAACGAAAGUAGUGAUCAUGGACCGGUCGACGCUUGAACAAGUUCGGCCGACAAUCGACGAGGCUAGUCGACUGACCAGUCCAAUGGUCAAUCAACCAACUCGUGCUAGUCGAGCGACUAGUCAAGGGCCAGUCAAUCAACCAAACCCCUGCUGUCCAGCCGCACACCGACCAACCCAAGUCUUUUGGCCUCCCUUUUUCAUCCAGUGGGUUUCCUUAUGACUCUAAUAAUCGAACCCUUUCAGUUGAUUCUUAGGUGUUUAUCUCAAACUCCCCUAAGAGACAUAUUGGCUCCACCAAGUCUCCAAACCAAAACUUAGAAAUUGUGCAGGAUCCGGCUGGCAAGAUUGUCCCUCUUGAAAUUUCAAAAAGUUAUAGUCUCUACAAUUCCCAACUUAAGUUGAAAAAAAUGUCUCGGUACGUAUGAUAGGGUCGACAAUUAUGUCUAUAGAGCCCCAGGUCCCAAAGAAAGACUUCCCGAAUUCGAUCCGCGCGAGGUAGCCGUGUAUAAGGACAUUAUGGAUGAGGGUUUUCGAUUUCCCAUUCACCCCUUCUUGGUGUUGAUUUUCAAUGAAUUUCACCUUAUCCCUAGUCAAAUUUACCCUAAUGGAUGGAGAAAGGCAUUGUAUUUCUUGUAUGUUUGCCUUAAGAGGAGAAUUCCAUUUUCCAUAGACCUCUUUGGCUGCGUCAUCUUCGAGAUGCACGAACUAGCUCAGUGCAAUGCAUUUGUGGGUGAAAAUCAACACCAAGUUUAAGAAUUCAAAUAGUGGGUGAAAAUCCCAGUUCUUCUUUGCUCAGCUUCCAGAAGGUGGGCUCCCUUUCAAUACCAACUGGCGGUAUCCCCAAAUUCGCCUUUUCAAUAGUCAAGUAGAAAUUAUUUCUCUUCUAAAAACUCAAAUCCAGGAGUUGGUCGAUGUACCCCCUCUCACACCUGACUUAGGAUCGAUUUUAACCAUGAGGAACAUGUUAAUAGUGGGGAUGAAUUAUCCUAUUGGUAGGUGGUUUUAGUUGGUUUUUGCAAUUUUUUACUUACACAUAUUUUUUGUUUGUUGGUUUUCUGUGCUAAUGAGUUUGACCGCAUGUAUGUAGAUAUGGAUUUUGACCUUGAUAAGGUAUUGAAGACCUUGUCGGGUGGCAACGAGGACUUUGCUCCCAUUGAUGGCAAGCUCUUAAGGUUCCCUUUUUUGCUUCAUACUCCCAUGUUUUUUUUUGUGCAAACGUAAUGGACCUUACUUUACAUACGCAGGGAUGGAGUUUGAUUUGGAGGGGACUAUGGAUUCUAUACCCGAACAGGGCCAUUGGAGUGAUGUUGAUCCAUCACUCAUUCCUUUAAAAAGAAAGAAGACAGCCGUCCAGGGAGGAAGGUCUCAAGUGGCUAAAGAGACUUGCCCAACCUUCAGAUGAGCCUAUCGAGGUUGUCCCUACUCCUAGGCCAGGUGUUUCUAGCUGUACGCAGUGCAAGCGCGAGGAUUCACUUCCGAAUUUUGGGUCUUCUCCUACCCAUGGCUAUCAUGAGAUGGGGGUACUUAAAUCUUUGGUGACACCCGCUCGGGUCUGGGCAAUUGUAGGAUGUAGCACAGACGACAUUGAGAGAGCUGCGGCGGUCUAUCUCUAGAGGGUAUGUUUCUAAUUAUUUAUCUCUUUUACGCUGAGUCUUAUCUUUUGAGCAUGAUUUUAACACUCGACUUUCACAUUGUCUCCUCAUCCCUUAGGUGGUGGCCCUUCAGAUCGGGCUUGCUGAAUUAAGUCGUCACCAGGCCUUAGAGUUGAAGACUCUUGCAGAAGAAAAGAAGAAAGAUGCCCAUCAUUACGAGAAAAAAGAUAUCUUCUUUGAAGAAAUAUCUAGAGGCAUUGGAGGCUCGAGCCCGCGAGCAAGAGAGAGAGAAUGACAAUUUACAGUCUGUGUUAGCUCGCACUCCAGAGGAGAUGAUCGAGAGGUACAAGGCCUCUGCUGAGUAUGUUAAGGACUUAGAGGCAUCCGUGGAGCAGUAUAAGUCAUUUUCUGAUCAUGCCAGGGACUUGCAUUCAUAUGGGGGAAGGCGAUGGCGGCAUCCAUCAAACUAAUCAAGGAGUGGAUAUUGGCCGAGCAUCUUUCUAUUGACCCCUCAGGUUUUGAUAAGUUCCUUGCGCAGCGCAAAGGAAAAGAGAGUGGGAUGUAGCCAUCCAUGUCACUUGGGCAGUCGUCAUGGUGUGGCAAUGGGAAUGCUUUCCCCUCGAGUUGAAGCAUGUCUUAGUAGUAGUACUCUUUGUUAGUUAUCCUCUUUUUGUGUUGCCUUUUAUUUUUAUUUGUAACAUCAUUUCCUACUUGUCCGAAGUGUGGGCAAGAGCACAUCAUAUGUCUCUUUAUAUGAAUGCUUCGUUAUUCGCUAUUAUUAAUGUUGAAUGCGUCGUUCUUUUAACUUGUUUUUUCUCACAUUGUUUUCCUCGCUUAGUAGUUUGAUAGCAAGGGGUGGCGCUCAUUAUGCGGGCGCAAGGCUUGAGCCUAAUGGUCAAUGGCCUCAGCCAUUUUUUUGCUUUUCAAGGCUCUUCUCCUAGCCGCGCAGGCUAUGUCGAAUGUCAGGAGAGGGGUCUAGCGGGUAAGGGCCUUAGCUAAUUUGUAGCUUUUCAAGGCUCUCCACUUAGCCGUGCUACGUCGAUCGUCGAGAGAUGGGUCUAGCGGUUAAGGGUCUUAGCCAUUUUUGGCUUUUCAAGGCUCUUCGCCUAGCCGCGUAGACUAUGUCGACCGCAUGUCUUCACGGGAUGAGCAUAGGGAUUCUAAAAUGCAUGUUAGUACAUAAAAAUACUUGCAUUUGUGAGCUCAGUAGGCAUACCAAGAUGUCCUAGUUAGGCUGGCCCUUCGUUAGUGCCCUCAUCAUCCGCCACUACCAAGGUCUUUCAUUGAAUAAGAUAAGUAUCUUAUUCAAUGAAAGACCUUGGUAGUGGCGAUGAUGAGGGCGCUAAGGGUGCCUUCGUGAGGUGUUACAUGAAGAGAAUUAAUAAUACAACCUAUUAUACUGUAUUUACAAAAGCAUAGCCUAUGCCUUUACCUCGAAAUCUACUGGUAGUAUGUUUUGAGAUGCUUUGCUUUCCAUGGUCAAACAAAUAGCUUUCCUUUCAUGUCUUUAAGGCUGUAAGCUCCCUUUCCCAGGCUACGAAUUACUUCAAAUGGGCCUUCUCAAUUUGGUUCAAGUUUUGUUGGGGGAAGUCCUAUUGUUGUUGCAUCUCUUAACACGAGGUCCCUCGGGUGGAAGAUUCUUGGUUUCACCCUCCGAUUAAAGUACUCAGUGACUCUUCGUUUAUAGGCCAUCAUGUUUAUUGCCACCUUCUUCCUUACCUCCUCAAGGAGAUCGAGUUCCUCUCUAGUCACCGUGUCAUCGGGCUGCUUGACCUUCAUCCUACCUAUCUCACUUAGGAUCUCAACUAGAACCACUACUUCCAUUCUAAAGAUUAGUCUAAAUGGUGUCUUCCCGGUCGGCUCUCAUGGGGUUGUGUGAUAUGCCCAAAGCACAUUGCGCAGCUCAUCUACCCGAAGCCCUUUUUCCUUUUCCAGUCUAGUCUUUAGAUCCUAGAGAAUAACUCAAUUUGUUACUUAGGCUUGUCCAUUUGAUUGAGGAUGGGCGACCGAGGUCAAUCUAUGAUCAAUGUGAUAACUUGCACAAAGGCCUUGAAGCUAUGAUUGUAAAAUUGUCUACCGUUAUUUGUCACCACCACCCUGGGUAUUUCGAAUCAGCAUAUCAUAUUUUUCCAUACAAAGCCUUGUAUUUUUGUUGUCGUAAUGGUCGCUGAUGGCUUCGCUUCCACCCACUUAGUGAAAUAGUCGAUGGCAACAAGCAAAAAAUUUCUUUGUUAUUUGGCCAUGGGCAAAGGCCCUAAAAUGACCAUUUUCCACUGAAAAAUGGGCAUACCCCAAAGAUGGCUACAUGUUGUUUGGCUGGGACAUGGAUCAAAUUUUCGUGAUGUUGGAAUGUGUUACAUUUCUAUACUAACUCUUUGGCGUCAUCUUUCAUAGUAGCCAAUAGUAACCUUGUCGUAGAACUUUGAAGGCAAGGGAUGUUGCCCCUUGGUGGUUACCGUAGGUCCCAGUAUGUAUCUCAAACAAUACCUCUUUGGUUUCGGCGGGUCGUAUGCACUUCAGAUAAGGCAUGGUAAAACCCCGCUUGUAGAGCUGCCCAUCAAUGAUGGUAAAUGAAGCUGCUCGAGCUCUCAAUCUCCUUGCCUCCAUAGGGUCUUUCGAUACCUUAUCUUCUGCUAGGUACUUGAUUAUCGGAUCCAUCCAACUUUCCUCGUGUUCAAUAUUUUUCAUCUUGGCCCAACGCUGAAUGUUGGGUUGUUGUAGAAAUUUCACACUCGCUGUCUGAGGUAAGUUUUUCAGGUUGGCAGAUGCGAGCUUUGCCAGCGCGUCUGCGCACUCAUUAUCUUUUCGUGAGACCUCGUCACCUUAAAGCUUGUGAACCCUCUUUGCAGAUCCCUUACUUUAAUUAGGUAUGCUGCCAUCCUUUCUUCAUUCGAUUUGUACUCCCCCGAUACUUGCCCAACUAUUAGUUGCGAGUUACUGCAUACCUCCACUGAAGUCACUCCCAGCCUUGCUGCUAAACCCAAGCCUGUGAUUACUUCCUCAAACUCAGCGUUGUUAUUGGUAGCAGGGAACUCAAAGCGCAUUGAGUAUUCCAAUUCUUGGGAGUCUGGUCCGAUCAUUAUGAUCCCUGUUCCUAAUCCCUCUACAUUUGAGGAACCAUCUACAAAGAUCUUCCAGUCUGCCUUCUGCCCUUCUGGGGGCUCUGUCGGGAUGGUGAGCUCGACAAUGAAGUCUGCCAGAGCCUGCUCUUUGAUGGUCGUCCUGGGUCUAAAUUCAAUGUCAAACUCACUUAUUUCAAUCGCCCAUUUCUGUAGCCUCCUGGAGGUUUUCGGUAGAUGCUGGAUCUGCUUGAUGGGUUGGUCAGUCAUUACUUGCACCGUAUGGGAGUGAAAGUAAGGUCUAAGCUUCCUGGUUGCAACAAUCAAUGUGAGCAAAAGUUACUCGGCCAGACUGUAUCUUAUCUCUACACCUUUUGUGAUUUUGGGAACUCUUUCACAAGAAUCGUGCUGACUGUCCGUGGUGACACUGUGAGGUAGAGAUACAGUAUGUCAUCCGGGUAUGGGCUGGUCAGAAUAGGAGGCUGCUAUAGUGACUUCUUUAAGGAUUCCAGCGAUACUUCGCACUCUUGAGUCCAUUCGAAAUUGGUAGAGCCCCCCUAUGGCUUUAAAGAAGUGGUAGCACUUAUCCGUCGCUUGACUCAUAAAGCGAUUAAGGGCCGCCAUGUGCCCUGUUAGCCAGUGAACCUCUUUUUUACUAGUGAAGCUCUUCAUUUCCAGUAUUGCUUGUAUCUUGUCAGGGUUUACCUCAAUUCCUUUUUGGGUGAUCAUGAAGCUUAGGAACUUUCUGUCGACAGUACCAAAGACACUUCUCCGGUUUGAACUUCUAGUUAUUCUAUCAGGCCACAUCAAAUACUUUCUGUAGACAAGUCACAUGGUUGAUAUUGGCCGUGAGCAAAAAUCGAAUCGAAACCGCAUUUUAGAAUCAUUGGUUUGGUGCCACGUGGACCCGAUCAACGAAAUGGUUUUGAAACAAACCAAACCGGUCAAAAUGGUUUGGUUUAGGCUUAAAAAUUUUAAUUGCGAUUUAAAACCAAAUCGGACCGACAAAAAUUAUAUAAAAAUAAAAAAAUGAAUUUUUUUGAAAAUUCAUCCAAAUAUGUAAAAUUCAAUAGUUUUGUCAUUUGUGGAUAUUUUUAUCCCAAUUUAUAUCUAAUAAUCUCAAAAUUAACAUAAUCUAUCAAAAGUCAUUUUACUUUUCAGAAUUCAGAUGAACUCCAGCCGACACCCGACACAAUUUUGAGCCACCGGCACUACCCACACUUCUUCUUCAGAUUUUUUUCGCCUCUUCAAAGUUGAAUUGUAGUUCAUUACACCAAAUCGGAGACAAAGAGAUCCUAGGCCAUCGGUGAUAAUAUUUGCUACGAAUAACGUUUCAAAUCAAUAAUUUUUUUGAGCAAACUGAGGUAAGAAUCUGAAAUUAAAUGCGUUUUGUAACAACAUACAAACAUAAGCUUGUGUAAUUUUUAUGUUUAGAUACUAUAAACAACUACUUUAUUAUUGUAGUUGGUUAUUCUCUUUGUCUAAUCAAUAACCAUUUUUCAGCUAUGAUGAUCAUGAGGUCUUGUUGGAUAUCAUUAUAUUUUUUGGGCCUUAUAUCUCAUUUAGUAGACUUGUAUUGUAACGUUAUCAUAACGUCAUUAACCUAAAAAAGGUGAACAAAAAUGAAAAAACUAUAUUUUAGUUUAUUAUGAUUUCACUUUGAUUUAGUAGUUAUUUAAAUUUAUAGUAGAUAUAUUUAACCCCUGUUCGAGCCAUAUUUUUCAUGUUAUCAUAAUGAGAAAAUUGACUAUUGGAGAGGAAGCUGGGUCCCACGCAUGAAACAACAGGUCAACAAAUGCGGUUGGACUUGUGGGAUAAUGGUCCAAUUUUUCAUUUUUUUGUCCCAAAAAUUUGGUUCAAAUAAGGGCUUAGAUUGUUUUAAAUUUAUUGCUAGUAAGAUAUAAAUAUAUACUGAAUUCAAUGAAUUAAUGUUAUAAAAGUAGACGGACAAAAAAAAUAUACGGUGAAAUCGACGAUUUAAAAUCUGGCCAAACCAUUAGGUUUAGGUGGAAUUUUUUUCAAAUCGUUCAAAAUGGUUUGAUUUAGGUUUGGGUUUUUUUCAAAUCGAUUCAAACGGUUUGGUUUGAAAAUUUGUCAAAAAUCGGUAAAAUCGAACCGCUUACACCCCUAAUUAAUAGCUUUGACACUUUUUACUACCAUGUCAUCAACGUAUGCUUCUAUGACAUUCCCGAUCAAUUCUUGAAAGAGCCUAUUCACCAUUCUUUGGUAGGUUGCUCCUGCAUUUUUGAGGCCGAGAGGCAUGGCCGUGUAACAAUAUUUUCCAUAAUCUGUGAUAAAUGAUGUCUUCUCCUGGUCGAGCUCGCCAUAAAAAUUGACGGUACCCGAAAAUUGAAUCCAGGAAGCUAAGCCUUUCAUGACCUCAUGUGGUGUCGACCAGGUGGUCUAUCCGGGGGUAGGUAUAAGUCCUUUGGGCACGCUUUGUUUAGCCCGGUGUAAUCUACACACAUGCGCCAUUUUCAUUUGACUUCUUCACUAGCACGAUGUUGGCCAGCCACUCAAGGUAAUGCACCUCCCGAAUGAAACCAACUUGUAGUAGCUUUUCCACCUCCGCUUUUGCUACUUCCUACCUUUCGGGGGCGAGGUUCCUUUUCUUCUGCUUCACUGGUUUAGUUCCGGGUAAGAGACCGAGGCGGUGUUGAGCGAUUGCUGGGCUGAUCCCAAUAAUGUAGUUCGGGCUCCAAGUGAAAACAUCUGGGUUAUCUGCAAGGCACCUUACCAACUUUCCCUUUUCAUCAGGUUCCAAACCAGUCUCAAUGCUAAACUCCUGUCCUUUUGAUACGAUGAUCUUUUCAACCAUUUCAAGUGGUUCGAUUUGCCCUUUCGAGUGUUCAACCUCCAACAUCAUGACCGGUGGGGCUCCCUUGACUGAUAUGUUGUCGACAUAACAUUUUCUGGAUGCUUGUCGGUCCUCUUGUACAUACCAGACCCCUCUACUGGUUGGGAAUUUCAUGACCUGGUGAUAGGUUGAGGUGAUGGCCCCGGCUGCGUUCAACAAUGGUCGACCAUAGAUCGCAUUACAGGCCAUAGGAGUUUUAACAACUAAGAAGCUUUCCACAAUUACCAUAGUGGUUAGACAUGUGCCGAGCAUGACAGGGAGCUCCACGGUCCCUUCCGGAAUUGCCAUAGCCCCUCCAAAGCCUUGUAGGCGGUGGUUACCGAUUUCAACUUGUCAGGAGAGAUCUUUAAGCCCAAAAAAGCAUCCUGUGUAAGUACAUUUGCUAUUCUCCCUCCAUCAACUAGCACCCUCUUGACAUCGAAAUCAGCUAGGUCCCCUAUUAUUACCAGUGCAUCAUCAUGGAGGCGUGCUACGCCCACCAAAUCAUCCUCGCUAAAAGUGAUGUUCUAACUAAACCUCUCUUUUUUGGAUGGAACAGAUCCCAGAGAAUGUGCGUAGCUUUUCCUUGUCAAGUUUGAAUCUCCACCUCCUGCUAUCCCCCUGCAGUCAUGUUUAUUACUCCAGCUCUACAUUGGGGGUGGUCCUCUAUUUUUUGUUUCCCCCGGUUGUCCUUCACAUAUUUGCUCAAGAGCCCCCUGUCUUAGGAGGCGCUUGAUCUUCUCCUUCAGCUAUAGGCAUUCUUCGGUACCGUGCCCAUGAUCCUUGUGGAAAUGGCAAUAUCUACCCUGAUUUCUCUUGCCGACUGGUGUUACCAUGGGUCUCGGCCAUUCAAGCUCCUUCCUGUCUCAUAUUUCCAUCAACAGCUUAGCACGCGGAGUGUUUAAAGGGGUGAACGCCCUGGACUCCUCUCGUUUCUUCCUGGCUUGUCGGUCUUGGGCUGUUCCCUUACCCAUUUGCUUACCCUUUGGUCUAUUUUUGUUGAUAGACCUUAGAUCUUCUCCUGCUUUUCGCUUAUGACUCUCCACUUCUCAUCUCACUCUGAGGUUUUUGUGACCUUCUCCGCUUUCUCGGCAUCAACAAAUUUGUCUCCUUUUUUCAACAGGUCGUGCAUUGAUUCUAGGGGAUUUUUGGAAAGUGACAUCUCAAAGGCCCCGUUUCGAGUUUCGUUCAUCAACGCGAUCACUACUGCCGACAUUUGAAGGUCCUCUAUUCCAAAGGUUGCUCGGCUGAAUCUGGCCAAAUACUCUUGCAGAGACUCAUCCUUUCCUGGACCACCUGCAUCAGCCCGAUGGUCGUCUUCCUCUUUCUUUUGCUACUGAGGAAGUAGGCCACAGAGCUCCUGAAAAGUUCAUCAAAUGUUCGGAUAGAUUGGGGGGCAAGUGUUGUCACCCAGUCUCUGGCUUCUCUCCUGAGGGUCGGGAGGAAAGAUCGACACAUCACUGCAUCAAGUGUUGUAUAGAGCCUCAUUAAAUCAACAAAGGUCUGGAGAUGGUCAAGUGGAUCUGUGACCCCGUCGUAAGCUUCUAUCAUGUGGUUCAAAUAACUAAUUGGGACUACUAGUAGAGAAAGGAUGACCCCCGCUAUGUCGGGCGACCCCCACUAUGUCGGGUAGCGCCUAUCAUGAUAUGACGACUACCAUAGUGUCAGCUCGAUCGAUGCUACCUUCUCUUGUUCGUAAGGUACAGACAGCAUUAGCAUGUCGGGUGACGCUUAUCAUACUAGAGCGCUAAUUGCUAUGCUAGUCCGACACUUGCCAUGCGCGGAGCGACCGUCGUCUACCCGAAUACCAUUGGAAUUGGUCAACAACCAUCCGAACGGUUAUUAUUGAACCCACUACCCGAGUAACCGAAUAAAUGGAAAAAAUUGUCUGAAGAGCGGGCAAGUCUCAUGAGAACACGUGGAUGACAACUACCCAAUUACGUGAUACUAGACUGAUGGGGACACGUAGAUGGCAAUUGCCCAGCAGUUACGUGAUGCCAGACGCCUAUAAAUAUCUCAUGGGCGUGUCAGGUAAGGGGGUUCUUUCUUUUUCCAGGAAAAAUUCUUUCCUUUGUCACUCCUGCAUUUCUUUAAAAUCCUUUAUCUAAAAACGAUUACUGACUCUCACGCAAGAGGUAAAAUGGGGGAGGGAGCCCCAACCUCUUUUUACAGGAUCACCAGAGGAAAAGAGACCACUCUUUCACUGAAAAAAAACACAGAGUUACACCAAAACUAUUUCACUGAAUAUACUACUCUGAUAAUUUAUCACCGGAAAAUGGAAAACGAAGCAAUGUCCAUGGAGUUAACACUUAAACAGUACUGCUUCAUUAAGCUAGCCAUAAUUACAUGAAAGUUUCGAAACUCAACUUGCCUCUUCUUCCAUGGUUUUCUAACAAAGGGCUUGGCAGAAAUCCUUCUGGCAUGACCUGAAGUUAAUGUAAUUUAAAGCUGUAUUCCACGAAAGUACUUUCACAGAUUUCAAUUAUGACCUCCAUUAAAAAUAAAGGCAAAGGGAAAGGGUUUUGACAAGCAUAAGAGCUACUCUUGAACGGAUGAAGAAGAAAGGGAAAGGAUUUGGCCUGUUAAAGAAGAUUGUACUGUAACAUUUUGAGAUGAAUAAUGCUAUCUAGAGAGUUGACUAUCACAAUCAUCAUAUCGAACAUAAAUAUACAUACAUGUAUAUAUUCAUAAAUAUAUAUAUAUAUAUAUAUAUAGAAGUGACAUAAAUAAUUAGGUUAUAAAGAAUACUCCUACCGAAUAUGAAUUUAUAUAUAAAACUUUUAUUAUUAUUAUUAUUAUUAUUAUUAUUAUUAUUAUUAUUAUUAUUAUUAUUAUUAUUAUUUAACAUGGGAACUACAUCAUAAUUUCAGCAACUAGAAAAUAUAAAAUACUAGUGCAUGGACUAUUAUGAAAUUUUACAAAUUGAAAAAGCUAGUAACUAAUUAAUUUGAUGAUCAUUGUGGUUAAACAUAAAACUUUCUAUUUUAAGGAAAGCAUUUCAAAAAAAUGUUUACAAAUAUAUAUAACAACACCUUUAUAUACACACACACACAUGAAAUAUAUAUAUAUAUAUAUAUAUAUAUAAUUUACAUAUAUGUAUAUAUAUAGCGGUUAGUAAUUUGAUGUAUUAUGUAAUAGAAAAUUAUUAUAUUAAUAUAUCAGAUCACUAACAGUUACAUGUACAUCACGUACAAUAACUAAGAUAGUGAGGGACUAUAAAUAACAUUACUCUUUUGAGAUGGGAGAUAUUUAAGCAAUAUUUGGUCACCAUUCUUUUAAAACUCAUUUUUUAUACACUUAUUUUCAAUCAUACAUUCACACAAUAAAAUAUCAUACAAGUAAAUCAAAAAAAAAAAAAUCUUAUUUUUUAACCACAUAUUCUCCAAAAAUUCAAUAUUGAAAACGUUAUUUUUUUCAAAUGAUUUUCAUCAAACAGAAGCUUACAGAACUAGAUGAAACCAUGUUUAGUGGCUUUUAUUUGUAAAUAAUAUUGUUUUGAAUAGUAUUUUUUGGAGAAUGUAAUAAUUAAAAAGUAGAAAAAAAUUUGAAUUUGUGUGUAAAGUAUUUUAUUACGUGAAUAUGUUGUUAAAAAUAAUGUAAGAUAAAUUAAAGGGAAGCAAACAAGAGUGAAGUGUGAAACCUCGUUUUAUGAAUGAACAAUGGAUGAUGAAUCUCUCUUCUAAGAGUCUUUUUGAGCUUUAUUUUUUGUCCAAAAUAUAUUUUGGAAUAGUAUGUUAGUGCAAAAUAUGUGGUUAAAAAAUAAGAAAAAGUUUUGAGGUUGUAUAUAAUAUUAUUUUAUUGAAAAAUGUGUGUUGAAAAUAAGAGAGAAAAAUACAUUUUGAAAAUAAUGGAGAUCAAAGUAAAGAGACUAGGAUGAUCUUGCUGGGCGCAAAGGCUAUUAGUUUGGGGCUUAGUUAUAUUAAUUUAAUAAUUUAAAAUUUGCCAGAUUUUCAUAAUCAUUAUUCUACAAUAAAAAAAAUAAAAAAAAUUAUUAGAGGUCAAUAAAGUCCAGUUUGAUGGUCAUUAUUUGACAAAAAUAAAGUUUUGGAUAUUGAAUUUUUGGAGAAUAUAUGGUUAAAAAAUAAGAAAUUUUUUUGAUUUACGUACAAAACAUUUUAUUGUAUGAAUGUGCUGUUGAAAAUGAGUAUGUAGAAAAAAAAUUUGAAUAAUGGUUGUCAAUGGCCCUCAUUUUGUAAAAAUGAAAAUGGUUGGAAUAGAUUUUUUUUUUUUUGAAAAAUGAAUAAUUGAAAGAGAAUAAAGAGUUUUCAAUUUACGUGUAAUAUUAUUUUAUGGAAGAUCGUGUGAUUGGAAAUAGGAGAGAGAAAAUAAAAUGUACUAGAAUGAAAAUUAACGGGGGCUAAAUGGGUUAAAGGCGAUAUUAAUUUAAAUAAAUAGAAAGAACAUAGGAGAAACAAAUUUCAACUCCUAAUAAUUUAAAAAAAAAUCAUGUAAUUAAGAGAAUUGUGAUUUGAAAAUGUUUGUUUUAUAUUGAGAAGACUUAUGGUGACUUUCUUUAGCGUGGUCAUUCCACUUUCUUAUUGUUCAAUCAAAUAAAUAAUUAAUAAUCGAUUGGUUUGAAGUAAAGUCUUAUUGAAGAUAAAUUUUCCAAUAGGAUCGAUUAAGAAGAGUUUUAUGCAUAUUCACAUAGCUGGCUAACGGCAUCCAUGUAACUUCUAUUUUCGUCUAACAUCUAUCAAGUAUUGAGAAUUAUUAACCUUAAUUCUAUGUAACUGAAAGCUAUCAAUUGAAAGAGAGAAAUAUAAAACUUAAGAACAUGUGAGAUUUAUAAAGGUUUGCUUCAAUGUGAAACUACAUCCUCACCUGUCGUUGAAGCAAUUGACUAUGAUGGGAAAAAAAGUUGUACAAGAGAAAAUCACACUCUUAUCUUUUCUUACACCUCUUUGCCCCUUUUUGAUGAUAAUAGAAAAGCAGAAGUACGAUUUCCUAUUUAUAAAAUAAAUUAUGUAAAAAUCGAAUCAUACAAGAACUCCGAUUUCUUAAUAGACUUUUACCCGCAUACAAAUUCCUAAAUAGUCCUCAGAUAAUUAGGGUUGAUAAUAAUUAGGAUUGGCCAACUCCAAAUGGUAAGAAUUAAGAUAGAGAAUAAUUAAAUACCACAACUUAAUAUCAAAGUGUCAUUAGACACAAAUAAAACAUGCAUCGUUAAAGUGCGAUAAUUCGCUUGCUAAUGACACGUACGAAAUUUACUCAGCUAUUACUAGAUGCAAAAUGUGCAUCUUAAAGCGAAAUAAUUUUGUUAGUGGACAAAUCCUAUUUGAAAUUAUUCAAUCGUCACUCAAAGCAAACAAAACAUUAAUCUUAAGGCAAGAAAGAGAUUAUUUCAAACACUAAACAUUUCAAGAACAAAUCUUCGAUCAAUCCCUUCCUCUUUUGAAGGCCCUAAUUGCACUAGGAGGAAAUUACACCUUACCCUACCUUUAAAGAUCUGUAUUCUAAAAUCAGAUGGAAAGUUUCACACUUCACAAAUCAGAUAUUUCAUUUUUAAAUAUUAAAUAUUAAAUAUAUAAUUUUCAUUCCAAACCCUAACAAUUUUCCCCUCCUUUCUCUCUCUACAUCUCGUUCUCACCUCGUCUCUCUUCAUCGGAGCUACCAACGUUGCCCAUUGCAGCCAGCUAAGCACUACCAGCCGCUACAGCAGGGCGCUGCGUUGCCAUUCACAGCAAUGCCUCGACAUUGUUCCUUUGAUCUGCGUUGGGUUCAGGCACAUCAAAUGGUGGUGGCACAGGUGUGGAUUUUUUAUGUUACCGUUCACAGCACCACGGGUUUGUUGCGAUUUUUGAUGUGGUGAUUGUGCAGGUGAUGACAGUGUGUGGUGGUGGUGUUGGCGGCGGUGUGAUGUAAAUGGAGAUAGAGGAGGAGGUGGUGGUGGUGGUGUGCUGUAGGUUGUGCAGUAUGCGAUGGUAUUGUGUUGCGGGCAUGGCGGUGGUGUUGCGGGUACUAUGUGCGAUAAUGGUGGUUCUGGUGUCUGUGGUGCUCAUGAUGGUGGUCGUUGUGGCGGUGACUGAUGGUGUUGGUGGUCGCUAUGGUUACUGGUGCUCUACUAUGGUGGUGGCGAUAAUGAUGAUAGUGAUGGUGGUUGUGGGAUGGUAUGAGAGGGGGUUGGAUGCUUGUGACCAAUUGUUUAGUUGAUUAUGACCAAUAAUUGGUUAAUUUGUAAUAAGUGAUCUCAAAGUUUUGACUGUGACUCACAAUUGAUUAAUUUGUGAUUCAAAAAUUAAUUGUGAGUUGUGACCAAUUAAUCUAAAAAUUUGUAGUGAACAUAUGAGUUGUUACCUAUAAAAGUUUUGAUUUUGUGAUCGGUGAAUAAUCUAUAACCGGUAAUUUGAUAAUUUGUGACUAUACAAUAAGUUGUAAACAAGAAGAAUGAUCGUUAAAGAUCUUAAGAAGACAACCCUUCGACGGUUAAGUCAGUAAAAUUUUUCAAGAAUAAUAUGAAUGCUAGAUGGAAAGUAAGAAAAAUAAUUCAGAGUAAAAUAGAUUGAGAUACCUAAACGUUUAACUCUCCACAAAAUUUAUAGGAGUGAGAUGAUUGUCUAGAUGAGAUUGACGACGAUCCUCCAAGAUUUUUUGGUUGGUUGAAGCUAAUCUGAUUGGAUCUAUUUGGUUAAAAUAUCCAGCCCAUUUAUAAAUAACUCCCACUUAAUUUGGUCAAAUCAUGACGUAUUAUAUCUUAAUUGCUUGAUGAUAAAAUAUCGGAGGUUUUGAAUUGAUCUGGGUCUUCGACCAUAACUCGCAUCAAUUGGCAUUGCUGGGUUAGCAUUAAAUGAGUUGAGCCAACGGUGGCAUGUUUGUUAAAUGAGCCAUUCGUGGGCCUCAUUUCAUGACUCAGGACUCUUGGGCUAGUGGAAUAACUUUUACCACUACAAUCUUUCUCCCAUUCCUUAAUAUGAGUUUACUCGAAUCAAAGAGUAGUUCAAGCUUUAGGCUGAUCAAAGACUUAGUUGAGAGAUCACUUUAAUCAUAUGGCGGACCAUCUAACCAUAUAGUUUAGGGUGAUCAAAUGAUUUGUUGUGGUCAUGAGACCGUUCGACCAUUAAAAGUAUCAUUGGAGAAUACCACACGCUUACGAGAUGUAUGAUAUACUUCGGAAGAUUUUCGUACGACUCAUCGAGCCGUGCAACUUUAUAGAACUUACUGCAUGAUUCGAAAGUGUUUUGGUGCUUAGGAGAAUAAUGUACUGUUUCUCGAGCCAUAUGAAUUUUUUAUAUUGUUUUUUAGUUGAAAGCCUUUUGGUUUUUUGUACAGUAUGUCUCGAAAGUUUUUCGAUUUUUUUAAUAUCAUAUGGCUCAAAAAUUUUAAAGUACGAGUUGUGCGAUUAUUUAAUUUUUUAUGUGUUAUUUUUUAAUUUAUUUAUUUUUGCUAUACAUAUUUAGCCCUUGUUUGAUUCUCAUUAAAAUGAGAAUAUUGGACCAAAAUACAUCUUGCUAUGGUGAUGAUGAAUUAAAAAUUAAACAUUUGUCAACAUAUUUUUCGGAUGAACAGGAAAAGCAAAAUGCCUAUUGAGAAGUGAAUGCCAAAAAUACCUAUUUUGAUCAAUUAAGAUUACACAAUUACCCUCGACCCAUUUCAAAAAAUUCUCCCCAUUCAAGGGUAAAAAGGAACAUUGGGCAUAAUGCGCUCUGUGUGUGUGUGUGUGUGUUUGCCAGCACGACUUCGAAGCCAUGCUUUUACAUACUUUUACUUACCACACGGUGAGCUGUGUAGUAAAUACCAAAAAUGUGGCGUGCAUGCACCAUUAUCACCACUAGGCAAUUAAUUAAAGNNNNNNNNNNNNNNNNNNNNNNNNNNNNNNNNNNNNNNNNNNNNNAUAUAUAUAUAUAUAUAUAUAUAUAUAUAUUAUGGAGCAUUAAUUCGAUUGGUAAUUUCAAUCCUAAAGGAAAAUUUGUUGAUCCAUCUAGACUGUGCGGCAUGUCUUACUCAGAGCAUUGAUAGGUAGAUAAAUAUGUCCAUCCAAAAGGUUGAGUGCACACAUUUGGUUGAUGAUUUUGAACUAAUUUAUGAAUUCAUUUAUCCAUCUUAUUUUGCAUGCCAGUUCUACUAUUUAAAUGAUUCAUUCUUCAUUUCUGAGGCAACUCCAAGGAGUUCAAAGAUUUUGAUGAGUUUCUUUCCUCCGUUCUUCAAAGUCUUGCUUUAUUUUCAAAUGUUCUCGAGUGUUCUUGAAAUAUUUUUUCAACUUCUCCGGUGGUUGCAUUGAUUUUGAUUCUAUAUUUCUGGAGUUUGAUCCAUCAUAAAGUGAAAUUGCUAGUGAAUAGUUGGAGUGAUUUUUGUGAUGUUCUGUACGGAAUUCUGGUUGAAUCUUAGCCAACUGGAGGUGCAAGUAAAUCUAAUAAUUCGGAUGCAAACUCCGGGCUAAAAACUAUGUGAGUUAGGAUCGUUUGGACGAGCUAAAACUAGCAGGGUUUGUAAGUGAUUCGGAAAUUUGUUCCUCUUAUGAGAUUGAUCCAAAAAGUGUUUGCAUUAAUAAUGAUCCGACAGAUCGAUGUCGAACAAACUGAUGGAGAAUGACUUGAUAAAAAUUGGGGAUCCAUAUGGUAUUCCAGCAUCCAUUCACCUCCUCUACCGCGGCCGUACAAGGAUUUGAACUUCGGACCCUUUCUUCAAUGCUGAGUAUCCCUAUCACCACAUCAACCUUAUUUGUACAAGAAACAUGAGCUUAAAUUUUCGUAUAGUCAAUUUGAUUUCCCCUUGUUUUAUGUCCCCUAACUUGUGAAAACCAAAAUUUUAGAAACCAUACAAACCGCUGUACAGGGCAGGCUGUUGAGGAUGAAACUUAUGCAAAUGUUUUCUUCCGUUGCUUCAAAUAAUUUUCUUACACUCAUGACCCCUGUUGACCCUAAAAAGUAUUGCCAACAGAUGUCGGUCCCACCGCGCACACGUGGGUGAAUGUCCAACACGCUAAGACACGUAGACAGUCUAAAAUGAGCGGUUCUAAGGGCAUGGGAGUAGCCCAACGACGCGGGAUAGUGACGUUCGGAAUCCGGUGAGUUGUUCGUGAUCCGAUUGUACAAUAAUUACCAACCGGUGUUCGUAAAUAUAUAUGUAAAUAUGUAUAAACUCGAUUUGUGUAUUGCAAGUAAAUGAGCGAGAGUUGAGUAAAGUAUAGUUCUUUGUAUUGAUUCUUGCAUUAGCCUUUUGAUGUUAUACAAGGGAAGUAUUUAUAGUGAUACAUGUGAAAUGGGAGCCCUUGGAUGAGGUGGCAUGUGGCCUCAUCUCUUUAAUUCAAACAUCCCAUCCUAGGCAUAGGGCUUGACUUGCUAGCUUGCUGCGCAUUUAUUGCUUUGUGCAGGGCCUCCAUACUAGUGACAAGACUUGACAUUUAUGCUUAUGACAAACGUUUCAUCAAUCAUUCGAAUAAGAUCUUUAUGCAGACGAUCUCUUGAGAGAAGUGAACAUGGAGGACACUCCUUUGUGGUUCAGAGGCUCUUGCAUCUGCUUCGGGGCUUCGGCCAUUUCACACGAUACUUUCGCUUGAGGGCUUCAGCUAUCUUCAACUAGCUUCAGCAUCAUGGCUUCAGGUCAUGAGCUUCGGCGUGUGGACCUCAGGUACGUUUACAGGCCUCGGUAAAAAGGUAGCCUCAACUAGUAGACUUCGACUUGAAGGGCUUCGGCAUUGCCCACCUCGGCAAUCUAUGCCACCUCGACUGGAAUACCAUGUGGUUCGCCCUGAGUGGGCCAUAAUGGCCCAGGUGAAUUGGCCAAGAAUGACCACACACAACAAUAGUCCCCCAAGUCCAAGUAUGGUCAUUCAUGUAAUGCGUGAACUUUAAUGAAGUAAAAAUUGAAAGAAUUUUUUAACCCCAAAUAAUAGUCCCUGAAGUCCAAGUGUAGAUAUUUAUAUCAGAGUUGGAAUUAGAAAUGUGUUGCCGUGGGUGAAUGAUGAAGAGACUGAAGCUAUGUUGAUAUUGAAGAAGAAGCCGAGGUGGUUGGAAAACUGAACCUGCGAGGCUUGAUGGAUGAAUGUUGAAGAAGAAGCCGAGGUGGUUGGAGACCGAACCUACGAGGCUUGAUGGCUGAAUGUUGAAGAAGAAGCCGAGGUGGUUGGAGACCGAACCUGCGAGGCUAGAUGGCUGAAAGUUGAAGACGAAGCCGAGGUGUUUGGAACCGAACCUACGAGGCUUGAUGGCUGAAUGUAGAAGAUGAAGCCGAGGUGGUUGGAAACCGAACUUGCGAGGCUUGAUGGCUAAAUGUUGAAGACGAAGCCGAGGUUCAAUGGUAAUGAUUGUGCCUUGAUAGCUGUGCCAAUGAUUUGAUGUUUUGUGCUUGUUUUCGAGGAAAAGUGGCUAAAUCGUUACGACUUCCAAGAUGCCUGCUGCCAUCAAAUUAAAAAUACAAUUAUGAUGGCAGCUGGAGCUUCUAGAAGCAGACACGUUGGAUGGGGCGCGUGGCAGGCACGCUUGAAUCUGAGGCGUAGGUUUGAAAAAUCGUUUGAAUUCAACGCCUCGAACUUGAUCUACAACGAAGGGCUCAGAUUGACUGAGGUUCGAUCUGACGGCUAGGGUUCGUCCUGGACCUCUACAAAAGGUGAGAAAAUCCCAUUUUUUAGGACUUUUGAAACUAUGCAAUUAGAUUCUCUCUCAAAUUUCUGAACUUUUUGGCGUCAAGGCAGCCCGUUUUUUGAUUUUUCGGCCUAUCUCUGUUCGUAGUGUUCUUCCCUUAGGUAUCAUUCACAGGAAAACCUUAUUUUUGUUCUUAAUUCUGUGAGAUGGAGUCCACCUUGGGUAGGGAGUUGGUGACGGUGGCAUCGUUAGAUUAUGGGGUCAAUCAGAGGGGGAAUGCCGAGGCUGAUAGUCAUGCCAUGACCAAAGACCCAGUAGACUAUUCUGAGGAGUGGGGGGCAUCUAAGGUGCCCUCAAGUAUGACGUGGAAGAGGUUAGGGGAGAUCAGGGAGAGAUAUAGUGUCCCCCACUCCAUAGAGAUGCUAGUUCUCGAACCAAAUGAGCGAGCCUGCUAUCUGAGGUCCGGAUGCGUGGCUGUCAGUGAAUACCUGUUUAAGGCAGGUAUGCGUCUUCCUCUGCACCCCUUCUUUAGGGCGGUGCUGAGGAAUUUUAUGUUGUCGCCGACCUAGGUUCUGCCAAAUGGGUGGAGCCAGUUGGUCGGCUCAUACUUCCUGCGGAAGGAGGUGUCACUUGGGGAGGACAUGCCUCUCCAUGUCUUCAUGACUCUGCUCCAGCCCCGGAUCAUAGGGAAGGAGUCCAGGGGGUGGUAUUAUAUUACACCUUGGGGGGCUCACGUACCCUUUGUGGUGGGGCUGCCUUCCUCCAUUAAGGGGUGGAAGGAGUCCUGGUUCUGGGUGCGGGGAAAAUGACAGGCAGUGGAGGGGAACAUGGCCCUUUCUUGCACAGUGCCGACCCAGUACUACGAAGCUCGUGAGUCUCCCAGCCCCUGCUUGUACUUCUGAAUUGAACACUUAGAAAAUUUCUAACUGUUGGGGCUUUCAUUGCAGAUUAUAGUACGAGGUUCGAGCUCAGCAGGGAGGAGUUCAAGGUGAUAGAAGACAUCUACAAGAGGCCUCUGAAGCUCCGACAUUUUGACCAUCUAAUUGACAGGAGUCGCUAUUUCCUGGAUUUUGGAUUGAUGGCAUCCAGAGGUACGAGACUCCCACAGUUGUAAAUUUCCUUGUCCUUUUGAUUAGAUACUGAUGUGCUAACCUGACAUUAUUUUGCAGAUAAAUUCAAGAGGAAGGAGUACCCAGCUCCAGAUAUGACCACGAUUCUGAAGGCCACCACCACUGCCAAGGCUAGGGCCUUGAAGCCGGGGUCUAGUGGGGCCAAGGAGGUCCGAGGCAAGGUGGAACAUCUUUCCAAGGACAGUACUUCAAAGGCUCCUGAAGAGGGAGCUUCCCAAAGGCAGGAGAGGCCAAAAGAGUCUCGGGGCAAAGAGAAGGUCCCAGAGGAGGUGAAGAGGAGGAAGCUGGUGCACGUUACCAGCUCGUCUGGGAAAUUUGGGACAUCAGUGUCUCAUGAGGUCAAAUCCAUAGGCGAGCCGAAGCUGCUCGCAUCUGCCUCCAAAGCCAUCAAGAUAGAAAUGGUCAGGGAGGCUGAGGCUGAGGAGGCUAGGGAGGAGGCAGCGAGGAGAGUUGCUGAGGCUGCUGAGGAGGAGGCAGCUAAACAAAAGCCUGCUCAGGAAAAGGGGAAGUCUCCAAGCUUCCUAGCUGGAAGGGAGGAGACCUUGGCCCCAGCCUUGGUGGAAGCUUUUCCAGAGGAGGUUCGAAGCACCACUGAGAACUUUUAUCGGUUCUGGACUGACAGGUGGCAGCUGCAUGCCUCCUCCUGCGAUGCAUCCGACCUGACGAGGGCGUUGGUGAGCCAAAGCGUCAGAACUUUUGGCCUCGCUCUUGAAUGCAGGGAGGCCCUAAGUGAUUUUCAAUCAAGGACCAAAUCUUCAGAGGAGAAGACGGCCUCCCUUGCAGAGGAGGUUAAGGGGGCUAGGGCCGAGGCAGAGGAAGCCAGGGCCCAAAAACUUGAAGAAAUGGCCAAGCUUGAGUCUGUCUUGGCCUAGAUUGAGGCUUUGAAGAAGGAAGUUCAUGAGUCACAGUGCAAGGUGGCCUCCCUAACAAAGAAGGUGGAGGUCUCUAAUGAGCACCAGAAAGUGACUGCUAAGGCCCUGGAGAAGGCCAAUCUCUCUUUGGUGGGUGCCCAGGAAGCUUAUCAUUUCUUGGAAACCCAAAUCAAGUGGUAUGUGGAUGAUGCAUCCCAUGCCAAAGAGGAGGCUCAACGGGCGAGGGAAGAGGCGGUGCAGGAGUACGUCGCCAACUUCCAUAACACAGAGGAGUAUAAGAGCUUCAGUGCUUACUGGAGAAACUUUGCCUAUGCUGAGGUGAUGGAGCGGGUAGAGGAAAUAUAUCCCAAUUUGGAUCUGACUCAACUCAGUUCUGAAUUCGUGGAUGAGGUACCUCAGACCCCUACUGAGGAGGUGUAGGGUAAUGAAGCAGCUGAGGUAGGGGAGACAAAUGCUGAUGCUCAACCUGCCAAAGCCCCAAGUACUGAAGCACCUCCCCCAUCUACCCAAGCUUAGAUUAGUUUUCUUUUCAGUUUUUUGAAUGUAAUGGCCUGAGGCCCAUUUUUGUAAUCCUUAUUGAAGAUCAAUAAAAAUGCCUGUUUCAUUCAUUGUUGUUUCUUUAUCAAGUGUACGCGCCUCGGACUUAAGCAAAAUUACUUUACUUGAGCAAAUGAACUGUUUGAGCCUCGGACUUAAGCAAAUGAACUUCGGACAUAAGCGAAUGAACUUUACUUAAGCAAAUGAACUUUAAACAACUGUUUGAGCCUUGGACUAAAGUGAAUGAACCUCGGACAUAAGCAAAAUAACUUUUUGAGCCUCGGACUUAAGCAAAUGAACUUCGGACAUAAGCGAAUGAACUUUUUGAGCCUCGGACUUAAGCAAAUGAACUUCGGACAUAAGCAAAUGAACUUUACUAAGCAAAUGAACUUUAAACAACUGUUUGAGCCUCGGACUUAAGUGAAUGAACCUCGGACACAUGAGGUAGCUUCUCCCCUUGGCAUUUAGUCCAGCCAAAGGAAGGCACGUGCUAUAGCCUCAGAGUUCAAUCGAGGUGGCCCACAGGUGGGGCGCGAGCCUCUCCUCCGAGGUGAUGACGCAUCCCGACCACGGUGGGUGGUGCAGCCAUGUUUAGGCUUCUCUCCUUGGCGUUUUGUUUAUUUUGGCCAAAGGGAGGCAUGUGUUAGAGCCUCGAAAUUCCAGCGAGGUGGCUUAGAGGUGGGACGCGAGCCUCUCCUCUGAGGUGACGAGGUAGUUCAACACGUUAAUUUAAUCACUAAAUUUUAUAGAACCAUAGAAAUGUUACAAGGGCUGGGAAAGGUCGUCCAGCAAGAUAGUACAUUUAUUGGUAGUAGAUUCUGAGGUGUUCAAUGUUCCAUGGUCGGAGUUGUGCCUUGCCAUUCAUGUCUUCAAUCCAGUAAGUCCCAGGUCGGACUUCUUCUCUGAUUUUGUAUGGACCUUCCCAGUUUGGGCCAAGGGAACCGGAACCAGGUUCUUUUAAGGAAACGAAGACCCUCCUAAGUACAAGGUCGUUGAUUCGGAAUGACCUCUUCUUGACUUUCGAGUUGAAAUACCUUGUCAUCUUUCUCUGAUAUGUGCCGAGCUUCACUUGGGAGUCAUCUCUUCUUUCUUUGAUGAAGUCGAGGUCGAGCCUCCAGAAUUCGUCGUUAGUUAUCUCGCUGAAGUGCAGACGUCUUGGGGAUGGAAGUUCGACUUCCACGGGGCUCAUAGCCUCAGUUUCGAAUGCCAUGAGGAAGGGUGUUUCUCCUGUUAGGGUCCUAGUAGUGGUUCGGAUCGCCCAAAGGACUUGGGGUAGCUUAUCAACCUAGGCCCCUUUUGAUACAUCCAGCUUUCUUUUCAAGAUGUGCUUAAUCGUCUUGUUCACGGCCUCGACUUGGCCGUUUGCUUGUGGGUGGUGAGGUAUGGAGAAGUGCUUCUUUAUGCCGAGCUCUUCGCAUAAUUCUCUAACUUUCUUGUUGUCAAAUUGUCUGCCAUUGUCUGAGACAAUUGAGUGGGGAAUCCCGAAUCGGCAAAUAAUAUUUUUCCAUAAGAACUUGGAGGUGUUGGCUUCAGUGAUUUUUUCCAGUGGUUCGACUUCGACCCACUUCGUGAAGUAAUCAAUAGCCACAAUUGUAAAACUUGCCCCUCCUCUGCCCUUAGGUAGGGGACCUAUGAGGUCCACACUCCAUUUUGAGAAAGGCCAGGGGGUAGAGACGGUGGUCAGCUCCUGCGAUGGUUGUCGCUGCACCAGAGAGAAGCGCUGGCAUUUAUUGCAUUUUCGUACAAACUCAAGGGCGUCCCGCUUUAGAGUGGGCUAGUAGUACCCCUGCCUCAAUAUUUUCUGUGCCAAAGACAGCACUCCGGAGUGGUUAUCGCAUAUGCCCUCUUGGACUUCUCUCAAUAUGUAGGUAGUCUCUUCUCCUCCGACGCACCGUAGGAGUGGAAAGGAGAAGCUUCUCUUAUAGAGAAUGUCAUCAAUGAAAAGGAAGUGGGCUGACCUCCUUCUUAGCUUGUAAGCCUCAUUCUUGUCAGUUGGCAGUGCCUGGUCUUUGAGGUAUGCUACGAUUGGUUGCAUCCAAAUGGGAGUCCCAGUGACCCACAUUACUGUUGGGGCCUCGAUCGAAGGUAGGAGGAGGUGCUCAAUAGGUACUACUGUGAGUAACUCUGAGUCCUUGCUGCUAGCUAGCUUUGAUAGUGCAUCAGCAUGUGCAUUUUCGAUGUGAGGGAUCUGGAUCAACUCAAACUUUUCGAAGGAUGGGAUGAGAUUCAUCACCAUUUUCAGGUAGGAGGCCAUCGUUUUAUCUUUGGCUGAGAAGUUACCAUUGACUUGGCUAACAACCAGUUGGGAGUCACUACUGAUGAGCAGCCUCUUUACUUACAUUUCGGUGGCUAGCCUGAGGCCUGCAAGAAGUGCCUUAUACUCUGCUGCGUUAUUGGUAGCUUUGAAUCCGAACCUCACCGCCGAGGUAAGUUUGUGACCUUCGGGGCUGAUGAGAACAACCCCAGCACCGGAGCCAACUUCCCCAGCUGACCCAUCAACGAAAAGAUUCCACAUGGGGGGUUCGAUAGGUUCCAUGAUUUCGUCCACCUUGGGUAGGUUGGCGAAUUCAGCCACAAAGUCAGUUAAGGCUUGCCCUUUUAUGGCUGCCCUAGCCUUGAAUACAAGGUCAAAUUCACUGAGUUCUACCGCCCAUUUCAAUAACCUUCCUGAGGCGUCAGGCUUUUGGAGUACCUGCCUCAGGGGAAAAUUUGUCAGUACAUAGACGGUGUGAGCUUGGAAGUAGGGUCUCAAUUUCCUAGAGGCCGUGAUCAAAGCCAAAGCAAGCUUCUCCAUAUCGGGGUAACGGGUUUUCGACGAUAGGAGCGAUUUACUUGUGUAGUACACGGGGAGUUGGGUAGACCCUUCUUCCCGUAUCAGAACCGAGUUGAUGGCCUCAUUGGAGAUGGCCAAAUAUAGUUGUAGGAUAUCACCGGGCUUAGGUUUGGAAAGGAGGGGGGCCUGCCCCAAGUGUCUUUUCAAGCAUUGGAAAGCCUCUUCACAUUCCUCAGUCCACUGGAAUUUCUUCCCAGCCUUCAUUACUUUGAAAAAGGGGAGGCAUUUGUCCGUAGCUUUGGACACAAAGCGGCUAAGUGCAGCCACUCGCCCGGUAAGACUUUGCACCUCCUUCGGCUUUUGGGGGGACCUCAUCUUGCACAAAGCUUCAAUCUUCUCGGGAUUGGCCUCAAUUCCCCGUUGGUUGACCAUGUACCCCAAGAACUUGCCGGAGGCUACCCCGAAGGCGCACUUGUGGGGGUUGAGCCUCAUCCUAUAUCUUCUUAGGAUCUGGAAAGUGCUGUUAAGGUGCUUUAUGUGGUCUUCGGCCUCCAAACUUUUUACUAGCAUGUCGUCCACGUAGACCUCCAUUGUUUUGCCAAUGAGGUCUACAAACAUCUGGUUUACGAGUCUUUGGUAGGUUGCUCUGACGUUUUUCAACCCGAAGGGCAUCAUUCUAUAACAAUAGAGGCCUCGGUCCGUAAUGAAAGAGGUGUGCUCUUCAUCGGUCGGGUGCAUGGGGAUUUGGUUGCAGCCGGAGUACGCGUCCAUGAAGCUCAACAACUCGUGCCCAGCAGUGGAAUCCACUAGUUGGUCAAUCCUUGGGAGUGGAAAACUAUCUUUCGGACAAGCUCUAUUGAGGUUGGUGAAGUCAAUGCACACCUUCCAUUUGCCGUUGUUUUUCCUUACCAAAACCGGGUUGGAGACCCAUCUAGGGUAGGUUGCCUCUCGGAUGAAGCCGUUUUGGAUGAGCUUCUGAACUUCUUCCUUUAGGGCCUCAUACCUUUCAGGGUUGAGGGCUCUCCUUUUUUGUCUAUUCGGGGCAACCUUAGGAUCAAUUUUUAGGUGGUGGCAGCUGACCUUGGGCUGUCCUCAUGCUUCCAGGCAAAGACAUCAAGAUUCUUGCUCAGGAAAUCCUUAAUCUUUUCCUUCAGAAUGUUGGCUAGGCAUUUGCCUACCUUCAGUACCUUUGAUGGGUCUCGGGGGUCUACUGAGAAGCUCUCAAGUUCCUCUACUGGAGAUGCCUAAGGCUCGUGUUCCAUGAUGUGGGGGUCAAUUUCAUCGAUGACCAGUGCCUCUGCAUUAGGUGGUGCAUCGAUCAUAUCAACAUCUUCUUGUUCGAUGGGAGCAUCACCUAGGACGUCAGCCAUGACCACGUCAGCUAUGACUACAUGGAUGUCCCGAGGCUCUGCCUUCUUGAUGGGGCUUAGAUAGCAUUCUCUCGAGCCUCUUUGGUCGCCUCUCACCAUUGUCACCCCAUUUUCAGUUGGAAAUUUCAUGCACAGGUGGUGGAUGGAGGUGACUGCUCCCAGUUCCUUCAGGGCUGGUCUGCCAAACAUCCCAUGGUAGGCCGACCUGCUGUCAACAAUGAGGAACUCCAUGAAGUUCGUCGUUGUACGUGGGGAUUCCCCCAUCUCUACUGCUAGUGUUAUCUUUCCUCUUGGAGUGAUGCUAUCUCCAGUAAAUCCGUACAAUGGAGUGAUGGUGGGCGUCAGCUGAUGAUCCAAUAUCAUUUUAUCAAAGGCGGAUCCGAAUAGAAUGUUGACGGAGCUGCCGUUGUCAACCAACAUUCGUUUGAGCCCAUUCUUGGCUAUGAUAGCCCUCACCACAAGUGCAUCGCAGUGGGGGUAAUGAACUCCCUCUUCGUCUUCCUGGGAAAAUACAAUGGGUGGGACCUGAUUUCUUCGGGAGCUGCUACCCACGAUGUAGCUUGUCAAAGGGGGGCGUUUAGCCUCCCGGGCGUAGUUCCUUUUGGCGUUUCGCGUUUCGUCGCCAACAUACGGGCCUCCAAAUAUGGUGUCCACCUCGUGGAUAGGGGCUUCAUCUCUAGCUUGCCGGUUUCUUUGGUGUCUAUGCCCUUCCCUGGGCCUCUCUGGAUCAUGCUCCCUUCGCCGUGGGGAUACAUCCCUUUGACGGGGAGCGGCCUCCUCACACCCACGCUGGUUGUCGUGCCUAGGCGGGGGCCUGUUCACCUGGGACGAAUCAUGUCUGUCUCAAAUGGGUUCCUACCGGGAAUGUUGUGCAUAAUCUCUACAAUCCGCUGUGUUAUGUCUGUAGGACCUGUGGUGUACACAGUGUCAUGGGAGGUUCGGGUUUGACCUAUUUCUAGGUCCAGAGCCUCGACCUCGGCCUCUCCCUCGACGGGGCAUCUCCUGACCCCCCAUCUGAUGGGGGUCAGUUAUUGGAUUGACAUCUUCAUAUGCCAAGGUGGGAACCGCAUUCAAAGUGGUGGUGGCAAGUGCUUGACCAGAGUUCUCAUUUCCAGCCUGGUUCAUCUGGUAGCCCAUCAGGUGGGAGGUCGGGCCUCUACCGCACUAUCUUUGAGGAGGCGGGAGGCCUCUAUUUGCCCUGUUCCUAUGCUCAAUCAAUUCUUCAUUGAUGAUCUCCCUUCUCAUCAUUUCGAGUAGGGCGUCAUAGGUGGUGGGGUCUUGAUUCUGCACAUCUCUCCAGAAUAAGGUAUUCAUGUUCAAACCUCCCCUUAGCGCGGAUAGUGCCUCUCGGUCGCUAACUUGUACGCAAUAUGUCAUCUCGUCGGUAAAGCGUGAUAAGAAGCUCUUUAGGGACUCCCCAUGUACUUGCCUCAUGUCAUGGAGACGUUGGAUGGGGGCUUCUCCUUCUUUGCUUACCGCGAACCUCUUCAAGAAUGUUGUCUUGAACUCAGGCUAGCUUCUAAUGCUCCCAGGUGGCAAUCUGCUGUACCAAAUUUCAGCCGCUCCACUAAGUGUUAAAUGGAAGGCUCUGCACUUCACGGCUGGGGUCGCGCCCUUUAGGCUCAUGUGGGUUUUAUAAGCAUUCAGAUGCUUUUCCGGGUCGCCUCUUCCGUCAUACUUUGGUAAUUUUGGCAUAGCAUAGUGGCUCGGGACCUGGGCAUUCCUUAGUUCCCUUGAGAAUGGUAGGUUCUCAUCGUCGUCGUCCAAUUCGCAGGACCUCUGCUGUUCGUCAGAGUCGUACUCAUCGGUCUCGUGCCCCGGUUGUUGGUGAGAGGUCCCGGGAAGAUCCCUAGCCUCUUCGUCUCUCCUCUGCUGCCUAUUUCUAGGCGGAGCAACUCGAGGGACAUUUUCUUGCCUUCUUUCCGCCUGUUGAGGCAAUGUAGGUAGAGGAGGCGGCCUUGUCCAAGGUUGUUGAGCCUGCUGUUGCCUUUGCCUCGGUUCGACAGGGCUGAUUCUGUCAAAAACACUUCCUGCCCUCCUAUGUCUUGGGUCUUGCUCAUACGGAGGUGGGAAAUUAUCAUGGCUCAUUUGGACCUCGGAGGGUCGGCCAGAAGCAUAGUUGGAGGAAACAUCAACUUCCACUUCUCUUUCAAAGGGGCUCUCACCUCGGCCAUAGUCUGGUGUAGCAGUUCUAUGACUUUGUACUUCAUCCUCUUGCUGGUAGUGCCCUUGGGGGACAUAUGGAGGAAAGGGGAAGCCUCACUGGCCCUGCAUUUGGGCCAUAAGCUCCCUCAUAGCCAAAUUUUGGCUAGCGAUAUCCCUCAUGUUAGCCGCCAUGACGGCCAUUUCUCUUGAUAAUCGUGCCGUCGCAUGCAUCCCACCUCUUCUUUGGUGGUGGUGGAGUCUUUGCCGAGCUGCUGGGACAGCUGGCUGGGGAUGCACAUUCGUGUUUUCUCUUACUCUCCUGGGGGUAUCUUUAUUAGAGCUCAUUUUCCUUUGUCCGAUUUCAGAUUUCUCCAGGUAACGGGGCUUCCUCCUGUUCUCUUCCAAGAACAAAUCAUUUUUCAAGGGGGGUUGCCCAAAUGUCCUUUUAGUAAGCUUUUACCACAGGGUUGCUCGUGGUUAUGGUAUGGUUUCCCACAGACGGCGCCAAUCUAUUGACCCCAAAAAGUAUUGCCAACAGAUGUUGGUCCCACCGCGCACACGUGGGCGAAUGUCCAACACACUAAGACACGUAGACAGUCUAAAAUGAGCAGUUCUAAGGGCGUGGGAGUAGCCCAACGACGCGGGACAGUGACGUUCGGAAUUCGACGAGUUGUUCGUGAUCCGAUUGUACAAUAAUUAUCAACCGGUGUUCGUAAAUAUAUAUGUAAAUAUGUAUAAACUCGAUUUGUUAAUUGCAAGUAAAUGAGAGAGAGUUGAGUAAAGUAUAGUUCUUUGUAUUGAUUCUUGCAUUAGCCUUUUGAUGUUACACAAGGGAAGUAUUUAUAGUAAUACAUGUGAAAUGGGAGCCCUUGGAUGAGGUGGCACGUGGCCUCAUCUCUUUAAUUCAAACAUCACAUCCUAGGCAUGGAGCUUGACUUGCUAGCUUGCUGCGCAUUUAUUGCUUUGUGCAGGGCCUCCAUACUAGUGACAAGACUUGACCUUUAUUCUUAUGACAAACGUUCCAUCAAUCAUUCGAAUAAGAUCUUUAUGCAGACGAUCUCUUGGGAGAAUUGAACAUGGAGGACACUCCUUUGUGAUUCGGAGGCUCCUGCAUCUGCUUCGGGGCUUCGGCCAUUUCACACGAUACUUCCGCUUGAGGGCUUCAGCUAUCUUCAACUAGCUUCAGUAUCAUGGCUUCGGGUCAUGGGCUUCGUUAUGUGGACCUCAGGUACGUUUACAGGCCUCGGUAAAAAGGUAGCCUCGGCUAGUGGACUUCGGCUUGAAGGGCUUCGGCAUUGCCCACCUCGGCAAUCUAUGCCACCUCAGCUGGAAUGCCACGUGGUUCGCCCUGAAUGGACCAUAAUGGCCCAGGUGAAUUGGCCAAGUAUGAGCGCACACAACAACCCCAAUUGGUUACUGGUGUCAAAGAUCCUGGCAAGGACUUGACUGGCUACAAAAUAAGGGUUUGGUGGCUAAAAGACAAAAAAGGUGAGUGCUUUAGAAAGCAGCCAGCCUGCUCUAGAUUUCUAUUGUUUUGCUGUUUUAGUUAGUGAUUCAUCUUAUUACUUGACAUGCAUCAUUUCUUGUUAUACCACUACCCUUUACUCGUACCAAGUACUCUGGACUCUAAUUAUCAACUGAUAUUUGACGAAGUUUUCCCAAUAAAAAGAUCUUUGUUCAUUAUUUCUCACCUGACUUCUAUUUUGGAGCUGUAGUAAGGGGGUUGUUGCUUAAUAUGACCCCUUCAAGAAAGAGUCACUCGGUAAGAUGACUCUCUAAGCUAGGACUACAAUUUUAAUUGCUGAAUAGACUUUUUACGUUUCUGAAUAUAAUUUGAAUUAUUUAAUCAUUUUGGCCGUUCCCUACCUCCUGUAUGAAGGCAUGUAUAAACCAUGAACCUUAAUAUCCUCUGGCUUCUUUGUCUAUUUAUCAACGUCUGCUGUUGGGUGGUUUAUACUAAUGGCGUUGGAGAAAUGUUGAACCUAAGAAAGGACCAUGGGGGAACCCCUAGAUUAUGGCAUCUCUCCACAUUUUGGUUAGAAGCAAGGUGGCAUGGAACUACUUUCGUUUACAUGUAUAGAUCCCCAAAUUUUGUUACGAACAUGGUAGUACAUAUUUUCGAUACUAGGGAACUAUUUAACUAACCAUUUAUAUGAUUGCAGGGGAAUGCAGUUCACAGUCAGGGCAAGUACAAGAAGGCCAUACAGAAAUAUUCAAAUGUAAGUUUACAUUUUUUUUUCCCUAUUUGUUGUAUUUUUUGAUUUUCCUUUGCUGUGAAGUUUUGUCUUUUGCAUGUCUCGUUUGUUUCUCGAUCAAUAUUAGGCUAAGAAAAACCUGAAAGAUGUUACUAUCUCGAAAUGCAGGAGUCUGAUCUUCACAUGCUCUCUUAAUAUGAUGGCAUCUUACUCGGAAACUAUAAAGUUGGUUAUGCUUAUUAUAUGAUUUACUCAUAACACUUCAACUUUCGAAAAAUCUACAAUUUGUACGAUAAUAAAAACACAAUAAAUAAAAGAGGAAAGAACAAGAAGAAUAAUCCAAGAAAGCAUUAGAAGUCUAGAAAGGAAAGUUGCUUUCUAAUUUGAGCUAAGACAAAGCAAGUUUACGGACAAUGUAAGUUGCUUUCUAAUUUAGUUGAGGUAUGAAGUAAUUCAAGAUGGGAUACAAGUGUUUUGAGCCAAUGGCGAGGAGGAUUUUGAAAAGGGUGUGGCUUGGGUACCAAAUGUCAAUGGGUUUACUUGUGCGUGGGAAUCACACAUCCUCCAGGUUUUGCACAUGCUAAAUAGUUCGUUUUCUUCGUUGCUUAGCUUUAUUCUGAUUUGAUAUAAUCUACUUGUGUUUUGCUUUGAGUGAAUCACUAUGCAAUUAUAGAUCUGGUACUUCGAAUUGCUUAAAAGAUCUGGAUUUCGGCUUAAAAGAGAGAAUUUAUGUGUAAAAAAUGGUUUUGAACUUCUUGAAAUGGCGAAUUAUUCGCGGGGUUAGUUCUUUGUAUAUGCCUUUCUUUUGUUGUAUGUGCAUAUGGGUUUAAUAAAAAAGCCAUUAAUUUGUUUAGAAACUGUUUACUUUUUGUACUUGUAGCCUUAAAAAAUGAUCCGAGGGUAUGUCAUUUUCUCAUUCUACCUUAUGCAAUCCAUUGUGCUAAAUGUUUUAUCAGCUUUACUUUAGGAAAACAUCAAUUGUAAAUUGCUACAUAGUUAGUAAGGGACCUGAAAUAUCGUUUUGCAAUUUACACCAUGACACCUGAUUUUGAUCACUUGAAUAGAUAAAAUUCACCUAAGCAUGUCUCUUUCUUUUCUGUUAUCAGCAGUUAAUGGCCAGCAAGGAAGUUAUAACACAUUUAUUUCAAUAUCUGCAUGAAAAUGGACAAUUCAACAUUUAGGGUCUAUCUUUAAGUAUUCCUUCUGACCAGAUGAGAGUGAUCCAAAACAUAAAUACACUAAUUGCCGAGGUAGCUUCUGUGUCUUGGAAUUACGAAACUUAUUAUUCCUACUUUGUCCAGUUUAUCUUUUUCUUGAUGCAUUAGUUCAUUGCAUUUUAGUAUUUUUCGCAUUUAUCUUUCAAGAACUAAAACUGGCUCUGGAAAAUUUCGUAACUGCAGUUGGCAUUGGAGAAAGAUCAGGUGACUCAAGCAUUGUUGGCAGAAUCAUCUCAAAUCUCUAAGCUUAUGGUAGUUUCAUCUUUAGUGAUCCUUUAUUGUGAAAUUUUCCUUAUUCUCUCUACUUUUUUUUGAGAGUCUUGAUUUUUGGAAGAAUCACCCCAAAGCUCUCUAAGCUUAUGGUAUUUUCAUCUUGAGCGGCCCCUUAUUGUGAACUUUCCUCUUAGUCUCUACUAUGCUGAGAGGAGAAAUUGAUUUUUGAUACAAGUUGUCAUUAGGGAAGCUAAAUAGUUGAUUGGAACAAUUGCAUUGGAGGACUUUCAGUUUCUUGUGUUCCUAUAUACUUCUAUGUGUUUUAGUCUGUAUCCUGAAAGCAUAUUUUUGAGAAAUCAUUAAAUUUGACUUUCACCUUGCUUGCAUCACAUACUACUCUAAAAUGAAGUAGCUUCAUGAAGGGACAAAAAAAAUGUUUUAUUGAAUUUGUGGUUCGUACUUUUGAAUGCGUUGUUGCAUUCGUGGACUGAGCUGUAAUAGUAAAAAUCCAUUGUUGGAUGAGUUUCAAUUAUAUGUCAAUCCUUUUGGAUUACUAAGGGCGUUGGUGAGAUCUUGUGAAUGAGCCUUCACUAUCAUUACAUAUAGUGGUGUCAAAGUGUGUCAGAUUUUCCAAUCCUUUUUUAAUCGUUGUGUUAGUUUUGAGGUGAUUUUUCUUUUAUAAUAGCAGUUAUUGUUAUUGGGUAAAUGGAUGACUUUGACUUUAUAUUCCCGUACUUGAUUUGGUAAUUUAAGAUUUGAUUUUUAUUACUUAAAGGAGGAUUUUUAUUUCAAAUGAUUUAUUCUACAUUCUUAAUAUUUCCCAUUCCUAUCAGAUUAAAAGAAUGAAGUUGAAUAAGUGGGAAUUAAUGUUUUGUUGUUAUGUUUCUCUUCUUAACUUUCUUGAUUCAUGAAUGAUAUGGAGAUCUUGAUGGCAAUAUGGGGUUUUAGAAUCUUGUUUGUGUUUAACAUUCCGCAUAUAUGAAUUAAGGCAUUGUAUUUGUAGCUUCUAUGUGUAUAAAACAAUUUGAAUUUCACUUUUUUGUUUAACUAUGCAAGCAUUUCAAGAGUUUAGUUAUCGUGACAGUAUAUUUGAAUUGCUUGAUUUUUUUGGAGUUUAAUUCUACUUUUUUUUUUCUUUUCUUUUUUUUUUUUUUUUUUUUUUUUUUUUGCGUUUAAUUAUACUUUUUUUCCUUUUUUGAGGAAACUCAUUUUUUUAUAUACAUUUAUCUUGGUUGUGUACAACCAUUUUGAUUAAUGUCCAAUUGAUGUUUAGAAAAUAGUUGAAUUCAUACAUUUGUAGUAUUGUAUUUGUAGCUUCCAUAUGUAUACAAUAUCAAAAUUUAGCUUCUUUUGUUAACUGUGCAAAUAUUUUAAUAGUUUAGUGUUAUAACUACGUCUAUUUUAAUUUCUUCCUAUUCUUUUUUUGUAAAAUCAUUUUUUUUAAUUGUGUUUUGUUAUAAAUAAAUAUGGCACACACUGAUUCACUAAAGCCAAGCAUUUGAUCAUGUGAAUGGUUUAAUUUUUUUACGAAGGGACAAGUAGUAUGAUAUUGAUGAAGUUUUUAUGUUGCUCUUUCGUUGAUUCAUUUUAUCAUUUAGAUGAAUAAUUGUUUAGAUUGUACAUAAUCAAAUACUCAAUUUUUUUCCUUGUGUAAAUCUGAAAAAGGUUGAAACAAAUGGAAAGAAAUGAUCCCAGCAAUAACCAAAAAAAGUUUUCAUUUCUUAAUCUAUGAACAUUCUUCUUAACUUUAAUAAACUAACGUGCAACGCACGUUGGUCACACUAGUAUUGACAAAAAGAUGAUGUUAAUAGUACGACAACAGGCUGUGGAUGAGUUUCAACAGAGCUUAAUUUAUAAGGAGGAUGGAGGAAUAAAAAUGAAAGGUAUGCCUCUAUAUUUAAAAUAAUUAUUAAAUUUCUUCAAUUCAUUUUUGAACUUAAAUAGAGAUUACUUCCACAUCCCUCUUGCAGGACACGGCUAAUUUACUUGCUGCAUAUUAUCGCACCGUUCUUUUCAUAUAUGUUCUUCCUACAUGGGUUCUUUUUUCUUUUGUACUUAUAAAUAUUGUAAUAAUGUGUCGUUUUACACUGUAAUGGCUACUUAAACGACUUGAUAUUCCUUAAUUUUCAUUCAUACUCAAUUUUAAAUGCAAUCUUACCAUUUGUUAAAAAUGAAUUCAAGAUGUCUAUCUGAUGAAAAUUGUCUAAUAAAAAACAAUUUAGUAAAGUAAAAGAUAGUCUUAUCUUCAAAUGCAGGACUUGAAAGUUAUUACAACUGUUCAAACUCAAAGAAAGGAUGCGACUGAGAACUAUUACUUAAAGUAUUUAUAUGAUUUACAUGCAGAAAUAUAAAAUAUAUCUGCGCAUAACAUACAAAUAUAAAAUAGCUUCAUAAGAUUAUUGAUGUUUCUUUGUUGACAUUCAUGUGAAAGACACCUUCAACUGAACCAAAAAGGUUAGUCUUGUGGACGUGCUUUCUAUCGACACUCUAACUCAGUAAUAGUUACUUCAUUGGUAGCGUCAAUGUGAGUGCUCAUCUUCAAACUAGAAUAUGUUCCAUUUUCAACAUAUGCAGGUGGUAAUGGUUGUGGCAACGACAGAACUUCUCCUUCCAACAUCUCUAGCACUGAUUGCAUUGUUGGUCGAUCUCCUGGUCGAUUUUGGACACAUAAAAGUCCAACUUGUAUACAUCUUAGUGCUUCAUCUGCUAGAAACUCAUCCUUCAUUGAUUUAUCUAAAAAUUCUAAGGCUUUUCCUUCAUUCCACAUCUUCCAGACCUGAACAGAUACCAUAUAUAUACAACUCGUUUCUUAGUGUAUAAUUUGGUGACAUCAAGUAUUAGAAGGAUAAUCUUUAAGUUAGUUCCUUUACUUACACGCUCAACAGGGUCAACAGCUCUAGGAAAACCAUAGACUUUUCUUCCAUGCAGAAUCUCUAGGACAACAACUCCAAAACUAAACACAUCCGACUUAACUGAGAAUACACCUUCUAUGGCAUAUUCUGGAGAUAUAUAACCACUGCAUACCAAUAUUGGACAAAUUACACAAAUUGGUGUGCUGCUUUAGACGGAGGUAGAGAUAAAAAGCACGCGUGUUUAUCUUGAUACUUACUAUGUCCCAACAACCCUCAAGGUUUCCAUUUCAGCUUGAUGUUCUUCUAAAGUACUUGCUAGACAGAAACCAGAAAUUUUAGGGUUCAUCUCUUUGUCAAGUAAAAUAUUACUUACUUUGAUAUCCCUGUGAAUAAUUCUCAAUCCUGAAUCUUGAUGAAGAUGAAGAAUUCCACGAGCAAUAUCAAUAGCGAUUUUGAAACGUAUGGUCCAUCCAAGUUUAUGACUUGUUUCACCUGUGUCAUUUCAUGUCAAGUUAGCUCAUAUAUGUUUAUCACUAUUUAAAUGAUGCAGAAGUAAGAAAAUUAUAUUCUAGAAUCUAAAGUGUAGUCUUAGAAAAAUGAGAGGAUGACUGGAAUCUAACCAAAUAAGUAAGCAUCUAGAGAUUUGUUCUCCAUGAACUCAUAUACAAGUAUUAAUUCUUCUCCAUGAAUGCAAUAUCCGAGUAGUUUAAUGAGGUUUGGAUGCUGAAGUUUGGAAAGCAAAAGGACUUCAUUUUUAAAUUCAAUAAAGCUUUGGUGGCUAUUCGAUGCCAACCUUUUAACAGCUACUUCCUGUCCUGUAGAUAACAGACCCUAUACCGAUAGAAUAGCAUUAGCAGAAAGAUUGAACUUCAAAUCACCAUCCAAAUUUCGAAGCAAAACAAGGUAAAGCAAACCUGACCUUAUAAACAGGACCAAAUCCACCUUCUCCAAUCUUAUUCGGUUGCGAAAAGUUAUUAGUUGCAGCUACAAUUGUAGCCAGAUCAAAUCUAUACGAUGCAACUUCCUCUCCAAAAUGUGCUGCAAGAUAAUUCCGUCAUUCAGUGUGAGACUUAAAUUGGAUUGAACCUAGUGCUAUUCAAAUAUGUUCGCUCGAGCUUGUCCGUUCAAAUUAUCAAAGGAACCAAGCUUGACUUGUUCACUUACAGCGACAAAGCAGCCUCAAUCAAGAGCUUGAGUUAUAAGCUACCUUACAUACAAUUUUUAUUACUUGAAAAAUUUCAGGAGACAUAAAUAUCCACUAUUGACAAAAAUUGUUUCACAACUAAAACAACAAACAAAUACUACGUUUUUCUUCCAAUAAUUUUGGGAUCGUAUGAAUCCUUUUUAGGCUAUCUUCCAUUUCUAGACUCACUGAAACAUCAAAAAAUGAGAAGCAUUUUGAUAAUAAUAUUUGAGAGUCUAAGACUUUGCCUUCACGCAAACACACAAAUAGAACUUAUAUAAGAUAGAUGUCUAAAACAAGCCUAAGAUUAAUUUCUAGCUUGGGGGUUUGGCUUCAGGCUCCAACUCGAUCUUGUGGUAGACUGCCCUCCUAGUAAUUGAUUGCAUACCGUCUUGCUAUCUAAAGCAACAAGCCAUAAUACGAAAAGCAAAAUUAGAAUGAGGGUCCGAAGGAGAAUCAGAGGUAAGACAAAGCAAACUCUAACCGCUGCCCUCGGUCCUAACAGCUUAUUUACCCCUUAGAUGAAAAAGGUUGGACCUUACGCUAUUCUAUUCCUUUCUCACGUCAGAAAUUGCGGUCCGGGUAAAGCUACUACCCUUAAUACACCUUCGCGGGAGACGACGGGGGUGGCUGCUCCAAUUAUAAAUGAUUCUUUGUAAGCUUUGUCAUAAUAAAUCCACAAGGUAGACAGGUAACAGACCGUAAGACAAGAAUAUGUAAUGUAUUAAACUGCAUCUAUUUCUUCUUAUUGAGCUUAGGGUGAGUUGCUGAGACAACCAUCUGAAAUCACUUCCAAUUACGAGGAUGUUAUCUACUUUGUAUGCAGUCAUUACAAUACCUGGUAUUGAUAAAUGGGUUUUCUUUAUUAUGUUUGCCCUUUUCCAUAAUGCAUUCCAUAGCCGAAAUCGUGGUAGCUUAUAAGCAAUUUUGUUUUUCUUAUACACUUGUGCUUCUCUGCCUGAUGGCUCGGUAUACUGAACCAUUUUGCUUCUUUCAGUCAGAGAGAGUGGCAUAUUCUGCUCAUCCACAGAGGACAUUUCUUCUAUCUCGGUGUUAAUUGAAUGUAGAGUUUCCCCAGCACGAGGCACGACACUAUCAGAACUAGUUAUCUCUGGAGCAGAAGAUUUUGAGCUUUCCUGUUGCUCCAGUGCAGACUCAAGUUGUACCACAACUUGAGCCAUUGUAGGCCGUUUAUUUGGUUCGUCAUGCAAGCAUCUUUUAGCAACUUCAAGAAAUGUCAUCAGGCUCUCUGGUGAUAUUUGUGCCCUCAGACUUGGAGCAACAAGGCGAUCAAUUUCUCCUUUGCUGAUGCAAUCUUGAGCCCAAAUGGCGAGGAUCCUCUGCUUAUCCUCUUCGACUCUUCGAUCCAGUGCUGGUCUUUCGCACAGUACUUCCAACAACACAACCCCGAAGGCAUAUGUGUCACUCUUCCUUCUCAAUCUACGAGUUCUGAAAUAGUCUGGGUCAAAAUACCCAUAUGUACCUUUAACGUUAGUGCUGACAUAGCUUUGCACCCGAUUUCUCUUUCGAGCUUUGGCCAACCCAAAAUCUGAAAUCUUAGCCUCCAAAUUUUCAUCCAGCAGGAUGUUCGAAGCCUUUAUGUCACGGUGUAUGAUUCCUUGAUCAGUGCCAGUGUGAAGGUAGUCUAAUCCUCGGCCUACCCCAGUGCAGAUCCUCAGUCGCUGCUCCCAAGAGAGAGAGGAGUGAUAAUCACUCUGUCCACUGAGUCCAAAGAGAUGGUCAGCCAAUGUGCCACUAGGAACAUAUUCAUAGAGAAGGAUCAUUUCUUGGCAUUCAUUGCAGUAUCCGAUUAAAGAAAUGAUAUUAGUAUGUUGGAGCUGCGAAAGGGUUUCGACCUCUGUCCAAAACUCGCGCGCCCCUUGCCUGGAAUUGGAUUUUAAUCGUUUUAUGGCUACAAUCUUUUGCUCCUUACUAAUAAAUCCUCUGUAUACUUUGCCAAAUCCACCCCUCCCAAUAACAAGUGCAUCAUUGAAGUUCUCAGUAGCUGAUUGGAUCUCAGUAAGCGAAAAAGGACGACAUAGUUUUUCAGUCAAGCCUGAUGGCUUGUAUCCAGAGUCGGUACAGUUAUCUUCCCAAAUUUUCCGCAACUUAUAAGUAAUGAUGUUGACUAGGGAGAUUAUAAUUACUGCACCAGUAGCAAUUGCAUUUCCAUGACCAAAAAAUGACAGUAAAUUUUGCACUGUAGCAGAUUUUGAAGAUCGUCUGGGAGGGGAGGGGUUUGGACUUGCAAGACUAUUAUCGUGGUUGCUCAACUUCAAUAUCUCCAAUCCUCUGAAGAGUUCAGUUACCAAUUCAUCCUUUAACUGCAGGGAAAUUGAUAGAUCACGCCUGCCAUCUUCUUUGUUUCCUUUCACCAUCACCAUAUAGUCUCUGUGCAAAUGGAUUCCACUGACGACGCUCCUCUCUUUGCCAAUAGCAACAUUAGUUUCUGCAAUCAUGUCAUUUAUGGAGACACUGAAUACGCUGUUUCUAGUCUCUGCCAUCUGAAGUCCCCUCUCGCAGAAAUGAAGCCUGAGCAAGUAUCCGAAUCCAACAUCCACAGACGUUUUCCAGGUAAAAUCUUUGAUCUUUUCAUCUGGAACUGUUGCCCAUUUCCCAAACAUGCCAAGAUAAGGAAUAGGGUCCCAUUUGAAAUUUAAUCGCUGCAUAAUUUCAAGCGCAGUGCUGUUAUCGACAUAGAAUCGAGAUUUUUGGCCAACCACUCGGGCUCCAAGAUCAUCAUCAUCAUGAGAGUAAUAAAGAUCACUAGGCAUGGAUAAUACCUCUAUUCCAUUUAUAAAAGCAUAUGUUUUAUCAGAUUGACUGUGUUCAGGAGAGAAAAUUAUACUCAGAGGUUGAUUCUGUUCUAUAUUCAUGCAAUACUCCUUAACCAAAGACUUCAC
rnacentral:lncRNA from 1 species